CAGUGGAAAUCUAUCUCUUGACAAGUAUAAACCUGCUUCCUAUUGGGAUAGGAGCAGGGACAAGCCAAGAAGGGCAUCAUGUGAAGGUGAUACUUGAAGUGAUUGAUCUUGAAAAAUGAUUCUCGUUAUGCUAAAUAUAUUUGUUUACCCUCCUAUUUUUUAUGUUUUCUUUCUACUUUUUCCAUUAGGAAGUGUCGGUGCUACAUAGGUAUCUGUCUAUAGUAGAGUGAAAGUUGUAUAAGUAUAUAGAGAAGCUUUUGAUUUUGUUUAGAGAAAUUAUGUAAAACAAGUGCUUCAAUGAACUUAAUUGAUUACACUUGAGAGAUUUCUGUGAUCUACAAAUGGAUGAAAUUGAAAUAGCUUAUUGUAAGGUGGUCCAACUCUCUCUCUCUCUCUCCAAUUGUUGAAUGUGCAUGAACUUGCAUGUGAUGAGAAGAAAACAAACAUGUGAUCAUGAUUGUCUUCUGAACUAGAAAACAAUGAAAAUGAUAACACAUACCACAGUUACCUUUAAACAUUAAUGUAGUGUAAAAUCAGAGAUGUCAAUUUUUUCUCUCUUUUUGAAUUUUCAACUUCUGAAGCAUUUAAGAUCAAAUUUAAAAACCAAGUUGGCUGAUGUUGACAAUGUCAUAUCUUUUUUUGAAUUCUUGAUUUCUGUAGCUUGUAAAAGAGACUUCAUUGGUUAUGUAUAAAAAACAUUUUGUUGGUUGGAUGAUGAUGACAGGGCUGGGCGAUUGAGACAUAAAUAGUAGUAAUACAAUUGAGAAACAUGUCAUGUGAGUGUCUUGUUUCUCUGUUAUGUUUUGGCAAGUUCUUAUGUAAACAAUGUAACAUCACACUUUAUCCUGAGGACAACUUGGUCUGAAUCUUGUCCAUACAUGUAUAUCUUUUACUCAUUACAGAUCAACAUCAACAAAAAUGUUCGCAGAACCUACGACUAUAAUUCCUCCAGUAUUGUUCGGGAAUCAUGGAAAAUAACGUUUUAUUCAAUUUGUGUUAAGCAACAGUGCUAUUUUGCUUAUGUAACUGUUAUUUGACAACAUUUUGUUAUACAGCUAUGAGUGAGACUGAGCACCACUAAUUAACAAAACUGAUUUAUAGCAAUUUUUAAAUUAAUUUCAAUAAGCAUGCCUUCACUCCUCAUGGGAUUAUAAAUCUCUUUCGACCUUUUUUCAUUACCCAGCCAUGAACCAAAGACCUCAAGGUUGAGGCAUAUACCUCCUCAUGGGAUUAUAAAUGUAUAUGGGUAAAAAAAAAACAGAUUUUAACAUAUAUAAGAAAUCUAAAAAGUCUAGAAGUCCUAGCUCAAAUGCCGAAAUUGCAAGGCUGGACGUCGUGACCCAGGUUCGAACCCGGGACCUCACAGUUGUGUGUGAGUUUAAUUUCAGUGAUUUACCACUUCAUUUAUGACCAAAAUGAACUUUUUUUAGUUUAGGGGAUAAUGAUUUUUAAGUUGUUUGAUGAUUAAAUAUAGGGUUAAUAGUAUUUUUCACCCUUGUAAUAUAUGUCAUAUUCGGUUUUCGCCCCUAUAAAAUUUUCGGUUUGAUUUUCACCCUCGUAAAAUUUUUAUUUUCCGGAAAACACCCUUAAUAGGCCAUCCAAAAACCAAAAUUUCUUGAAAAAAAAUUCUGAAAAUGGCCUAUUAGGGGUGUUUUUCGGAAAAUAAAAAUUUUACGAUGGUGCAAAUCAAACCGAAAAUUUUAUAGGGGCGAAAACUGGAAAUAACAUGUAUUACAGGGGUGAAAAACACCAUUAACCCUUAAAUAUAUAAUUUUUAUGUAAUUGUAAUUUUCCAUGAUCCACGAACAAUAUAAUUUAAUCAUAAAAAAAACUUAAAAAUCUGUCUCCUGAACAAUAUAAUUUUUAUGUUGCUUAGCAAUCAAAGAACACAGUAAGAAUUACUUUUUUCAGGUCAGGACGAACCCAAAUGCAAAACUCUUGCAUUGAUGAGCAUGAUCAACAAUAUCCACAAUAUUUUUUCUUUUCUUCCUAGAUGAAGUGGCAAAUACUACUGAAACUCACACACACAAUUAUGGAAUUUUGGAUUCGAAUCCGCUUGAAGGCGCCUAACCUAACAAUUUCGGCAUUCCCUGUUGAACUAGUCUUUACGGACCAAUAACCACAACUUACGGAUUAACCCUAAUAUUAGUUCAUUGGAACCGAUUACUUCCUUUGUUGAGUCGUUUGAAGAAAUUUUCACGUAUUGAAUUAGACAGAUAUAAGAGCUAAGCAGUGACUAAAGUAUCAAAUAAAGUUGUUUAUUCUGAUCUAAAACUACUUACCCCAUCAAAAGCUAAAACCAAAAAACCAUUUCUAUGACAAGUUUGGAAGUGAGGCACUGCUUCAAUAUGUCAUAAAAUGAUAGACAUGGAUAUAACUCAAAAUCUCUAAUAAAGAUAAUCAUCAUUAAGGAAAUAAAAACAAUGAAGAUGAUCUUUUUUUUUUUGGUCAAGUGAAGUGGAUCUUUUAACUACAUGAAAGAAAAGAUCAUAUAUAUUUGAAAAAAAUUAUGCCACAGAGGACAAAAUGAAACAAAGUUGUGUAUUUCUAACCAUCAAAUCCUACUAUAUGUAGAACCAAAUAAAAAAGUAGACAUAUAGGAUCUGUUGUUGACAUGCCCUAUGGCCAUUAUGAAACAAAUAUAAAUUUACAUGUUGUAGAGGGCAUUCAUAUCUAGGAAGUGAAUCCCCUCAAAUAACAUGGUGUGUAGCACUUUUGAAUUUUGCAUAAUAUAUUUUGCGAAUUGAAACUCAAGUUCCCAACCUCUGUAACCUCUAAGGCAAGAUGUUUUAAGCUGUGAUGAAAGACAUUUUGAAACAAUUUGUGGAUCCUUCUAACUUUCGUCGCCCAACUCGCCUUGAUCUACACCCUAUCAACGAUUCACGUAUUUCUUUGGUUUUGAAAAAAUAAAAUACAUGGAAUUAUACUUAAAAAAGAAAAGAAUCACAACCAAACAAAACCUCAAUGGUAAAAUGUUGAAGUUUGGGGCAACAUUCAAGCACUUUUAGCAACCAAUUCCACCUAUUAGGCCAAUAUACAUAGUCAAAUUUUAGCUCAAUGUUGGUCGGCUUAUGAAACAUGGGAAACUUGGUACACCAGGACCAUUUGCUGUGCAUAGAUUACACAAGACACAAUAUUAGACAUGUAUAGAAUGAAUGAUUAAAUCGUAAUUUUAACAAACCAUAAUUUAUUUUGAAAGAUGAUAUAUUCAUACCAAAUGUACACAUUGACUCUCCACAUUACAAACGAAAGUAAUCGGAAAUCUAUAAUAAAAAAUCUUUGCUCAAAUCAAAUAAGGCAAGGCCUUAAACUUUUCUUCCUUUGGAAGAAGAGAAUGCAAUAUAUGUAAAUAUAUUAUUUGCAUAUCUCCUAAAAUAGGAGAACAUAAUAGAAGUUUCACAAGAUGUUCAUGACGGAUAUAGACUUUGUUUAAAUGGAGAGUUUUGAGAAGAGGUAAAUACACUUGAUGAGAAAGAUCUUUCACCUUUAGCCAUUCCAAUUUAAGAAUCUUAAGCGUCUUAAAACUAAGAAGGCUAAGGCUUAAUUCAAUGGCAAUGCUGAUGUUAAGGUUCUCAAUUCCUCGUUGCAUGGCAAAGUUAAAAUAAAUCUAUUGACAUCAUAUGGAUCACAACAGUUGUUGUUGACACAUUUGAAGCAAAACGAAAGCGCACAUAAUUUUGAAAGGAGAAAGUCUUUGAAGGUUUUGUCCUCAAAGUCGAGAGAUAAGACUGAAGGUCAUACCGACUUCCACCUCGUUGAGAGGAUGCUUGUGGUGGCCGUGUGUUUGGUAGGAAGAAAAGAGAGAAUGAGACAAAUAAUUGUAAUAUGUAUUUAUUUAUUUUAUGAUUUUUCAUAUGUUUCUUCACUCCUAGGAAUAGGAAGUAAUCAUAUUCAAGGGGUGUUGGACACUAAAUGUCGAUACUUCUCCCAAUCAAAUUUGAAUCUUGAUUCACCAUAUUAUGGUAGUUUAGCCUCUUCAGCUAAACUCAACCCACAUUGAUAUUAUAUAUUUAUUUAUGUUACAUGUGUAUGUUUGAUAUUAGUAUGAUAGAUUGUUUGUUCGCUUUUCUCUUAAAGACUACAAUCGAGCCAAUGAAAGUUGACUCUAUUGAUAAGAAGUUAACUCCUCUGCAUUGUUAUGGGUUCAAUUCACACUGCCAAUGUGAAGACCUUGAUAGGUGAUUUAUAAAUACCUCUAUAAGCGUUUUUUGAGCAUUGAGACCUACUCUGACCCUGGUAAGCCCCCGAAAGUCGAAACCCAAAUUACCUAAAAAAAUUCUCAUAAAAAAAAAAAAAAAGAAGACCAUUGUCGACAUUCAUCAUGGUGAAGACUAAGAUUGAAGUUUUAGACGAAAUUAUACCUUUAGUAUUGGUAUUCUUAUUUUAAUUGCUACAUUUUUAAUUGAAAAUAGAAUUAAGAUUAGCUUGGAUUUAACUCUUAGGGGUUUAUUUGGUGGUGAAGACUUGGACCUUGUGCUUCUCUUUAGAUCUUUGAAAACGCAGUAUUAUUACUAUUUACAUAUAUUGAUUCACAAUCUUAAAUAGUGAUGCUGGGAAAAUACAUAGACAAACUUGUUUCGUACGAUAGAACAAAUUGUUUACUAAAGAUAGUGUUGCUCUCGCUGCUGAAAAAUUGUCCUCAAUUAAUUCUAACAGAUUACAUGGUUCAGACAUAACUGUCUGCUGUACUCAUUUUGUAAAUUGCAAAUGGUACAUCUUACCAACCUUUCUAUAAAUUGCAACUACUCAGAGGGAACACAAUAUUUCCUUUUAUAUCGAACCCAAAUUAUCCAGAAAUGGUCUAGCUCCAAUUUAUUCUAUCGCUUCUUCCUCAUUCUAGACCUUGCAUAUCUAGAGAGCACAACCAAGGAAAGAAAAAAAGAGUUAGAAAUGUGAAGUAUCCAACAUAACUGAAAAAAAUCGAUAAAAUCCAUUAGGUUAGAAAAUACUCUAUGUGCAUGCCACCCCGAUCUGAUGAUGGAAGCGAGCUUCCCUGAAGCUCCUCCAUGACCUUAACAGCUUGAUCAAUUUCCUGUCAAAAGAAGAAAGGUUGAUAAGAUCAUUGAUAAAUGAGCGAAAAUUCAGGGCAAGGGUUAUUUGAUAAAUUUGGUAUACUUAGUUAUACUUCAAGUGACGGCAUUGAAAAGGCAGGGGUGAAUACUAGGUAAUCGCAAUCAAGAGAGAAGGUUGGACAAGAUCUUGUUUCUUUUAAAUAAAUGCUGAAUGGAUAAGAAGUGGAAAAAAAUCAACUAAAAAGUAAUAUCAAACAACCAUGUCCAAUUCAACGGAGGUAUGCGUAUGCCGCGUUCUUAUAAUUUUAAUUAACAGUCGAUUGUACAGGAAUCAUGAGACAAUAGUAACAUAGUACAAAGUUGUCCAAUUGAUAUUUUUUUGCACCUAGUGAUGGUCAGAUUUUGUUCCACUAUACCAUUAUUGUCAGCUGAAGUUGCACAGCUAUACUUUCCAGAUAAAUUUCAUACCACAACUGAUGUGUGCCAAUAUGAAAAUCAAAAUUCCCGAAAAAAUGUUUUAAACUUAUGACACAACUCAAAGACUAUGAUCAACUAUCAUGUAUUAUGUUAUAUAUAUAUAUAUAUAUAUAUAUAUAUAUAUAUGAGAAGGGAUCCAUUGACUCCAAGAGUAAGUCUAAAGACUUACUCCAAAUCAUAACCAUUGGCAAUCUCAAACAACCCAACACGAGUGAGACGAAGGCAAUCUCAAAAUAAACGGCGUGUGCUUGUAAUUACUAUUGAUUCGUACAUGAUAUGCCUUCAAUCCCAAAUAAUUUGGCUUUGGAAGAAUGUAAUUCGGUGAUACCUGUGAUUUAUUUCUUCAAUUCUUAGGUUUAUAUGAUCUUUGUGAAUAAAAAACACCUGAUUCUAUUAACAUCACAGCCAUCUGUCGGUCAGAAUAAAAAAUACUCUUCAAUUGGAUUCAAUAAAAACAAUUCUUGCAGAGAUAAUGAUAAUCAUGGUGUCAUACUCUAAUUAUUUGAGAUUUUCGUUUCAGCAGUAGUCUCGUGUACUGUUCAGGAGAAGGGACUAUAAAAAGGUUCACGCUAAGCAUUGAUAUAAUCAAUCACAACCAUUAAUUAAUAUCAAAAUCAAUGGUUAUGAUUUGGAGUAAGUCUUUAGACUUACUCUAGGAGUCAAUGGAUCCCUUCUCUCUCUCUCUCUCUCUCUCUCUCUAUAUAUAUAUAUAUAUAUAUAUAUAUAUAUAUAUAUUUUAUAUAAUAUGUUAUACUUAAAAGUAGAGUUUUUUUUUAAAAGAGCCCAGCACAUCAUUCCAAAGAAAAGAGUAACUGAAGAACUCAUGAAAAGAAUAGGGCCAAAGAUUUACUGUUGUAACCCUCAAAUUGUUUAUGGUUAACUCCAUAAUUUCCUCUCUCCCCCUUUCCUAUCUGACAUCCACACACAAUGUAUGAAUAUUAUAAAUGUCUAUCUAUUCUACCAAUAAUGCCAAUAGUCAUUGAGAUAUGUAAUGAUUAACAUCAGUUAACAAAGCUUAAAGUGAUGCCUACUAUUUGUACCAAUGAUGCCUAUUAUAUGAACAUGAAAAUUAAAAGAUAUGAGCUAUGUGAUAAUAACUUUCAAGUUUUCAAUACAACAUUGAAUUUUGUCAUAAGUAGAAUGCAAAGUUGACUAAUCUCAUCGUUGAAUUCCAAGUUCAUAUAAAUUACAUCAAGCUUAAAAGCAAUUUAUGCAAAUAAAAAUUGAUACUUCAUCUUAUUGUUUUAACUUAACAGAUAAUAUAUAAUUUAAAAUGCAUGAAAAUAUUCCUUGUUAGAUAACAUACAGCGUCCAAAUUACUUAUAACCAGCAAGAACAGUUGAGUUACCUCAAAAUCAGCAAAUGCUACAGGCAUUCCUCCUCUAGAACGCAUUUUGACCAAGUUGAAUCCAGCAUACCUGGAAAAAUGGAUUGAAGACAUCAAGUUUGAUAAUCAAAAUGAAUUAGAUGAUGAACAAUGUAGGAUUUAGAUUUAACAAGAACAAGCGGGUUGAAUGCUUUUCCAAUUUCAGAGGUCCUUGACAAAUCCAUGAAUAAAAAAAUAGAAGCAACAACUCACACAGAUAAAGCUUGCUUUAAUUCAUCCUCAGUGCAGUUUGGACCAAGAUUUGCAAUAAAAAGAGUGGAACAUGGUCCUCCAUCACCACCACCCUUUCCAUGUUGCGCCUGCAGCCAAUUUGAAAACAUCAUAAUAAUACAUAUGGCAUAAGUACUUAAUGGGAAAGUGAAAAGAAAUAUUUUACAAACUAUACAAUAUUCAUUUUAUAUUUUUGAAAUUAACUACACAAUCUAACAUGUUUCGUAAUGGUUUGGCCGAAAUGCAGAGAGGAACAAAAUCUGAGUGCAGCAUUUGACGAGAGAAAGAAUAUUGGAUAUUUUAUGUCUUCUAUAAAUGCAAAGAGAUAAAGAGUUCCAAUUUCCAACAUAUUGCUAAUGCUGGGUUUCACUUACCCUUGCCACAGGUACAUGAUUGUCAGAACCAACAACUGCAUCACCACUGCACACAAUCAGAAAAUAUUAUAUUCUCAGUGAACAAAUUGAAAAUUUCGAAAAAUUGUGUAUUUUUAUCUUUCAUUUUUCGUUUAUGUUAACAAUUUGCACAAUUUUGAACUUUUUAGGUAUGGAAAACAGCAUUAAAAUUAAUUCCAUUCUCAACCUUUGCGCGGUUGCUAUAUCGCCAUGGUUGCUGCCAUUUUCUGAUGGUUCAUCAGGGUCACUUUCACCUAAAUGUGAAAACAUGUGCAGGUGAGCAACAAAAAUAAGAGGGGAAAGAGUGUGAAACCAAGCUACCUUUUCCUACUUAAAUUCUAAUAUAACCUACCAGAUUGAAAGGGACAAAUAGGUGUGGAUGUUUUAUAGAGAGUCAACAAUAAAAUAGUACUCCCUCCGUUCCAUAAUAUUUGAGCCAUUUGCAAAAAAAAAGUGUCUCAAAAUAACUGAGUCAUUUCACUUUUCAAUACAAUAUUAAUUACUUUUUUUCCCUUUAUAACUCUAAUUAAUACUACUUUCAACACUCCCAAUUCAAUAUAUUCCACUUUGCAUUUAUGAUAGUGGAGAAUGCACCAAUACUUGACAAAAGCACUUAAAACCAUUUUUCUCUCUCCUUCAUUUAUACAUUUGUCUUAAUAGGUGUGAAAUGAGCAAAUGGCUCAGUUAAUCCGGGACGGAGGGAGUAGCAAGCCAUAUCAUCAUAGUCAUUCAGAAUAAAUAAUGUCUAUGUCACAUUGAACUUGUAAUGAAAGAAACUUUACCAUCAUCACUUGACGAUCCCUGAACAUUGGCUUCCCCCUUUGACCUUUUGUCUAUAACCACGUAAGCUCCACCACCUGUGCAUGCAAAAUAAAACCACUAAUCAUCAUCCUGGAAAAACCGUAAAAUUAUAAGUUUGGAAAAGCUUAUUUACUUUUAGCAACUAAUAUUGGCUUAUCUUAUGUCAUAGCAUUUGUGUAAGUUCUUGGAUUAAGCUUAUAAAGUAGUUUAACUUUAUCACAUGUCUAUAAGAAGUUUUCAGUUUACUUCAAUAAGAUGUUCCCGACUGCUUAUGAAAACAACUUACAGUUUAUAAGAACAGAGUUUAACUUAAUGUCAUCUAUGAUUACAGAAACAACUAAUACAUAAUCAGUUUUAUGAUUAGUGUUUAUUCAAUAUGUGCUGGAUUAAGUUGUUUACCCGAACAUAGUAUAAAACACAUAGAAUGUCUCCAUAAUUCAUCAAAAUAAAUAAUAAAUAAAUUGGGGAAAAUGGAAGAAAAAUAAUUUGACGGAAAAAAGGAAUGGAAUAAAAGUGAAAACAAGAUGAUAUCUAAUUCUAUAUAUGCAUUAUAGCUUGAAAGUUGAUAAUCUCAUGUCUUCCAUUCCUCGUAUAUUUUUUUCAUAUUCAUCCUACCAAUCAUGCAUAAUAUAUAUACCUGGUUUUCGCUUCCGCCUAGAGUUUGAUCUGGCAAGUUCAAUAUGUAAAACAGAUCCAGAUUGAGGAUCAAAUUUCACACCCUGACAAUAAAAAGAUAAAUUAGAUCGAAGAUCAACUUCUAUAAAUUGUAAACAUUUCCUCUUUUAUCUAUUAAACUACUACAUUUGAAUAACAAAUUUGAAACAUGUAUGAUCCACUAUAACUCCUAGGACUUCCUUUAGAGUAUGUGUCAAGUGAAGUCACUAAAAUUAACAUAUUCUGAUGAGAUGCACUUCAAAGCUUUUUCAAUAUCACUUUAGGAAGCAUUUGGUUAAAAAGUUUAAUUGAAUGUUAAUUUAAUGAGCAAUUUCAGAGAGAUUAAUUAAGUGCUCAUUCAUAAGUGGUUUCAAAAGAGCUCAUUGAAAAUACUCCCUAUGUCCCUAAAUAUAACCACCCAUUUGACAAAAAAAAAAAAAAAAACUGUCCCUAAAUAUAAGCCCAUUUUCAAAUUACAAGAUACAUUUAUUGUUUCUUUUCCAAAUAAACCCCAACUAAUACCAAUAAGUGUCUUGGAAUAUGAAAAGUCAAGAUUAACUUUAUACAUAUACAAAGGGUAUUUUAGGUACAUUUAUACAAAGGGUAUUUUAGGUGAAUAAGUGGAGAAUAUGGGGGUUCAAACCACACCGCUUGCAUAUAUAAUGCAAUGUUCGUCCUACCAAUUGAGCUAUGCUCACGGGACCACAAGCUUAUAGCUUUUUAUAACUAGAUUAUAGCGUUUUUAUAAGCUAUUUCAAGUAGCUUAUAGCUCAUAACAUAUCAUUCUUUCAUCUCAAAUUUUACCACUGUUAUCUCAAUAAAAAAAUAUAUAAAUACUCAUUAAAAAGAUUUUUAUGUCAUUUCAUAUUUUUCAUUUAAAUCAACGGUUAAUUUUACCAAUAACUACAAAUUCAUCCUUCUAACUUAUCCCCGCUAUAAGCUAUCCACUAUUGGAGAAAGUGGUAUCAAAACUUUCACUCCAAGGAACAUUAAUCAAUACAAAUAAUUUCGUAAAACUAAGCUAUCUAAUAUCUUGAACUUAAUCCCUAACUGUCAAUGUUCAUCACCGAUUUCAAUAUUUGAAACUAGAUACUCACAUUUAGGGAGUGCAACGCUUGCAUUGCUGCUUGAUGAUUGAAAAACGUAGCAAAAGCAACAACCUGAAAAUAAAACCGAAAUUUCAAUUAUCACAUUCAAGUUUCACAAGUUUUCAUCUCCGUUGAAAUUGAGUACCUGGUUGGCGCGGCCGGUAUACUUGAGUUGACAAGAGUCGAAGCCAGGGCGACGGCGGAAGAGGUUGUGAAUCUCACGCGCUUUCACGUCGUCUGGGAGACCGGAGACGAAGAGUGUGUUGAUGUUGCUCCGUUCGUCUUGUUGGUAGUGGUAAUACUGAUCAAAUUGUUGCAUAGCCAUUCCGAGGGUUGCGCUGGUGAAGAUGAAAGGGUGAGGUAAGUCGUUUGUGGCGGUGAUGACGGUGGCCGGAGAUGGAGGUUUGUGACUGCUCCGGUUAGGUAUAGUUUUGUAAAUGAAACGAAGUUCGUGUUUCGGUAUGUAAUGUGUCGUUUAUGUGGUUCGUUUUUUUCUCUUAAUUAAUUAACCAAUUAGUUCUUAAACGACAUUAAGUUUAUCUCCAUUUUUUUCAUUCAUGAUUUUUUAGAGUGAGUGAUCACUUUAAUAAAAAAUACAAAAAUUAUCUAAAUGUGUAUUUUGUUAAUCAAUAUAAUUUUUGGGUGUGUUUUUAGUUAGUUAGUUUGGUCUUCAAAUUUAUCUUCUUUUAGUUAACAUAUCAUUAAAAUUAUUAACAAAUAAUUUCCUAUAAUUUUGGUCGAGAAAAGCUCUGUGGACAUCUCAUUCACCCAACAACUAUGUGUCUCUGUCUUACAUUGUUUUGUGUCUCGAAGGGUGGAAAUAUUGUAUGUCUCAUAUUUUGAAAAUUAAUAUUUAAUAUCACAACAAUGUAUUCAUUUGAAUAAAAAAUUCGUGAUUUUGAAGUUUGAUAAUUUUGAUAUCUUUCUUUAACUAAUUAUUUUUGCUCAUCUAAAUAAUUUAUUUUAACCAUUUAUUCAUCAUCAAAAUACACUAAACUCACCCCAAUGAAAUGCAUAAGAUUCAUGUAUUGAAAUAAUCAUUUACACUUUCCUUGUUACUAAAGAAAACUCGACUUAUGUCAUUAAUAAAUACAAAAUUGGUGAAGGCAAGGAGAUGUAACCACAAACUUGAUAUCACUAACCCAAAAAUAUAUCUCUAACCAGGGACUGCGCAAUCAUAUUUAUUUGUUGUUUAACAAACUUAACCACUAAAUUCAUAUCAAGAGAUGACAAAGAGUAAAUUUAGUAAUAGUUAUAUAUAAAAUUUACAUAUUAAUUAUGGAUUGAUUUAAGUGGUAAGAGACUUGGGUCCUUCAAGUAUUUAGUUAGAAGUUUGAUUUUUGACUCAUGUGUAUAAAAAAAUCCGAUCGAAAAAAGAGAACUCGUUUUAUUUGUGGCACAAAUAACUAAAAAAAAAACAUAGAUAUAAUAGUUUUAAAAAUUACAUUAUCAACUUAUCAAAAUUAAUCUCGUUACACAAAUACAUUUAACGUUAACAAAUUUGAACCCAAACGUAUAGUGAUUUAUCAAAAAUUACAUAGUAAAAUCUUAGAUGUGAUCAUAAUUUCGUCAAACUGGCCAUAACUUUAAACAUGCACUAAUCAUUUUUAUUUUACCCAAUCCGCACACAACAAAAAUGAAAAAAGAAUGACGAUUGAAAUAAAUAAAAAAGAUUAAUAAACUAUUGAACAUAAUAGAUCAAAAUCAAGAAGCAACAGAAACAAUGACUUCUUCUUCUUCCUCAAAGAACAAAUCCUCUGUCUUCCUAAACACACCAUGUGCCACCACAACCACAGUGGCAACACUAACCGCAACAACAAUAUUAACAGUAGCUUGCGUAAGAAGCAACAAAGCCACCGUAACAAACGCCAUGAGAACAACCACAAUUCGAUCAUCAACAAGCCGACCCCAUAAAAUCACCGGCUGAUCACGGAGGAAGUAGAAGAACAACCAUGCCGCCAUUAGGAUAACGAAAACAAUGAGUGAGUAAGGAUGCCAUAAAAGGCUCAGAAACAAAAUCAAAAGCAUCACCAUAGUGUAGUUCAUGCGGAAGUAUGAGAUGUUGACACGAACACGUGAAAUUGCUUCCGGUACACCAGUGGGGAUGCCGAGUGACCGGAUAUCGAACAUGGUUUUCCACGGUCGACGAGUUCCUAAGCCGGCCUUGAUCCGUUGUUUGCCACGUGUUAUGUAUUCAAGUUUUGGUGGUGUUGGUGAGGUUGGGAUUGUGCCGUAGGUUGAUGUCAUGGUGGUGGAAACAACCAAUGCAAAAAUUGUAAUGUAAUUGCAAUUUGGAACGAACAAUAUAAUGAAAUGGUUACUACUUAUUAGAGUUUAAUAAUUAUAGGAGCAAUUGGGUCCUACGAUUUUGUGAGUUUGUUUAUGCUUUUUAUUUUUAUUUUUAACAUAUGAGUGAGUGUAUUAUUAUGGUUUGGAAGGAUGGGAUGUGGAUAUGGUAAUAAUUUGAGUUUUUGAUUUGGUUUUUGCUAUUGGAUUUGCAUUUCUUUUUGUGAGUUAGAUAGGUAGAUGUUUGAUAUGUUUGUUUCCAAACGAGUGAAGACAUUCAUAGUAUAAGUUUUUGUUCUCGAAUUUGGAAGGUGGUUGGUGUUGCUUUCUUCCUUGGUUGUAAUGUUGAACCUAUUUCAUGAGAGAAGAAAACUCUUGCACUUCAAUAUUUAGUUACUUAGUUAAUCAGAAAAAAAUUUGAUGUGUUUUUGUUGAGUUUUCCUUACACAAGCUUUGGCCAUGUGAGUGAUUUUUUCCAAUUCAAAUCUUUCUAUUUAAGAUUUGGUCCGACGCAACCCACUUGGACUGGCCUUUUAGCGUUGGCUUGAAAAUUUGCGCUCCUCUUAAAGAUUUAGGUUCGAUUCUUUUCGAUGUCAAUUUGGAUUGGAUAGCUUGACUUUUAAAAAAAAAACAAAGAUUUGCACCUACACACGUGAUCAUGGGGUUGCAAAUUUUUAAAUCCUCGUAAUAGACAUUAAUUUUUUUUUGCUUUCACUUGAUCAUAUGGUUAGUUUAUUUGAAGGCAAACAAAUGAAGAUGCCAUGCUUAGCUGGGGCCUGGGACGGUCACAAAUUUAUCUGGCUUUUAGAAUAUUUGUAACAAUCCUAUAUGUAGUAACUCUGUUAUUAUUUAAAAAAUUUAUUUUUAAAUUUUAGAUUUUAAGAUUGAGCCCUACUUACUAUUACAAAUUACUCUCUCCAGUUUAAUUUAUACAUAAUAGAUAUUUCGGUCUACAAAAAAGUUUAUAUAUCUGAUUCAAAUUGGAUUAAAUAGAUAAUUUUUAUUGACUUAAAUACCUCUUAUAAAUAGUAUCACAAUUUUAUUUUUUUUUAAACACAAAUAGUAUCACAAUGUUUACUAAAGUAGAUCAUGUACAUUAUUAAACUUACUAUUUUUCUAUCCUGAGCCACGAAAGUAGAGGUGAAAAACAACGAGUAAUUAUCGGGGAUCAAUUUAGUAACCCAUGUUUCAUGUCAAACAGGUUGUGGUUUUUAGUAUUUGUUUUUCUGUAAACGACAGAGAGUAGAAGUAGUAAGAUGAUUGGAUAGUGGGAUACAAAAACUCAUCUUUGCUUUAUUUCAUCUCUUGAAAUGAUCCCACACUUUCCAACUAAUCACACUACAUUUUGUAGUGACAGCAGAUCAUGGCUCGAGAGUCGAGAAGCUUAAGGCAAGUGAGAGCAUAAGCCUUAAACCCCACCUUCAUCUCCCAUUCCCUAUUCAAAAAUAGCAAUAGUAGUGAAUGUUUAGUAUCAUUUAGGUUUAUCGAAAUCACGGUGAGUCAAUGUGACACGGUGAUAUCAAACAUCCACGUAGUUUUAUACUGAUCUAAGACACUAAUUCUCUAGUCAAAUGUUAUUUAUUGUUGUCUAAAUGUUUAUAUAUUAAUCAAUUUGGUUUUACCUUCGUUAUUAACGUGAAAACCUCUUUGAUAGAUGAUAUGUACAUAAUCUAUGUAAGCAUUUUUUGAGUCUUGAGGUUUGCAUCAUAAUGGUAAGUCCCUCCAGAUCCAUCUCACCAAAAUUUACUUUUAUAAAAAAAUAAUAUUUUACUGUCUUAAUAAAUCAGCAAUUUUUAAUUGAUCAAGAAUUCAAGAUAUGAUUUAAUAAUGUACCGAAAAUUAUUAUUACAGUUCUUGGUACGUAAUAAUUAUUGUUUCAAGUAUUUUUACUUGUACUUAUUGAUUACGGUAAAUUCAUACCGUGAUUCAGGCUCAAGAAACUUUAGCUUCAAAGCUAAAACUUGUAAUAGCAAAUACUUCAAGGUUGGAUUGGGUUUGUAUGUGAGUGCAAAGUUAUACAAGUCUUCUCUAGUUGCUAACUUUCAAUUGAAUUCCAAGGUUCCAUUUAAAUUUUCUUUUACAACUAGUAACUUAACUGGCUUAUAUAUGUAAGGUAAUAUGCAAUAAUUGAUAAAGGUAAAUUGACUCAAAUUAUUUUUCAUGUCUAAACAAAUUCAAUAGUUUUGUAUCUCUCGGUUCAUUUAUUUGUUGUAAAUAUUUCAAGUAGUAAAUUAAAGAAAUGGAGGAGACGCCUACCCUUCUGCAUGGAACAAUUGAAGCUACCAUCUUCAAUGCCUCACCCUACACAUCAUUUUUCCCCUUCAAUGUGAGUAUCAUUUCACACAAAAAUACACAGACUUGGCACCUACGUAUGUAUAAUGGUGUGGUCACAACUCACAAGUUUCCGAUUCAGUUUUUAUAAAAUUCGAGAGUCAAACCAAAACCAACUCGAUCAAAUCCGAAAUAGUUUUUAUGACUUGAAACCCAAGAUAAGACCUCACAAACCAAACCAGUUGACAUUUACGUUUUUUUUUUUACAUUUAUAUACCUUAUAUUUAUCGAUUGGUGAGACAUGUAAGGAUUAAAUACCUUAGUUUCUUUCUAUUUUUUAAGUUGUUGAAUUUUGACUUUUAAGUGCUACAUUGUUUUAAGAAUAAAAAAAUUAUAACAACAUAGUUUAUGGUUUAUGACCCAAUCGAACUAGUUUGAUUUGGGUAUAACGAAAAAAUUGUGUAUUAUUUUCCAACUCGAAAGAGAAAGAGAAAACAUUGAUGGGUUUAAGUAAUGAAUUUUGUCUAAACCAACCCUUGUAACCCCUAUGUAUUGUAUAUUGCUCUACUUUAAAAGUUUUUUGGUGUAAUCAUAAACUCAUAACAUUGCAUGAAUUUCCCCUAUUUUCAGUGCAUAUGUUCAAAUGGAGAGCCUGCUUAUGUAACCAUCAAAGUAGAUAACAAGAAGGUUGCAAAAACAAGCAAAGAAAGAAACCGUAUUUGGAACCAAACCUUUCAUAUUCAAUGUGCUCAUCCUUCUGAAUCAGUUAUCACCAUUACAUUGAAAACAUUAGAUUCAAAUUUAGGAAAGUACCAUAUCAAGGCCCAACAACUUUUAAAGGAAGGAAGUAUAAUCAAUGGAAUAUUUCCUCUCCUCAUGGAAAAUGAAAAACCAAACCCUAAACUUAAAUUGAAAUUUAUAUUAUGGUUUAAGCCUGCAAAAUUGGAACAAAGUUUGGCAAAGGUACUAAGCAAUAAUGAAUUUCAAGGGUUAAAGGAUGCAAAAUUUCCACUAAGGUCUAAUUGUCAAGUCAAACUUUAUCAUGAUGCUCAUCAUUCUCCUACCUUCCAACCUCCCUUUGAUCCAUGUGGUACUCCAAAAAAUUUAUGGGAGGAUGUUUAUAAAGCCAUUGAGGGUGCAAAGCAUAUAGUUUAUAUUGCAGCUUGGUCCCUAAAUCCCAAGAUGGUUUUGGUAAAUUUACUAACUCUGCAUUUUUUAUUUCACUUUUAAGAGAGUCAAAAGUAAUUCUAAAGAGUAAAAAUUUAUUUUAAUUUCAUUGAAGGUUCACAAUUAGAAUUGGUUUUGCAUACAAGAUUGAUUGUAUCUUUUUUUCGACGAAAAAAAAAAUGGAUUCUAACUCGAAGCUAGAAUAUGUAGCUUUGACUUCUAAAUAUAAUUUUUACACUAUAUAUUGAUAAUUUUAUCUUAAAUCCACUUUUAAUUAAAGUCAAUUUUUGCGAUUCACAUGCAUAUUGAACUUUGUAGUGACAAAAAUUCAUUUUAAAUUGAUUGAUUUUGUAAAAUUGAUUUUUGCUAAAAGUGAGUUGAACAAUUAAUUUGAGGUUAACGGUUUAAUUGUAGAGGUAAAAACUUCAAGUUAGAAUCAAUUCUAAAAGCAAACAUACAUGUUUAGAUUCACUUUUUGGAGAGUCAAAAGUGUUUCUAAAGGCUUAAAAUUGAUUUAGUAUGUUUGGAGCUUUUCAAUUACAAUUAAUUUUGUCUUUAUAAUUGAUUCUAACAUAAAGCUAUGAUUUCUAAAUUUUGUCUACAAACAUGUUUUUUUAUACUUGUUCAAUUCAUUUUCAUGAAAAUGAAUCGUACAUAAAUCAUUUUAUCUUUAACUUACUUUUAAAUACAAUUAAUUUUACAAAAUUCAUUCUACUCAAACACACACUAAUCAAUAUCAUUUCAUAUUUAGUUUUUACAAUGAUCAUACAUUGUUUGAGCGUCUUUGCUUAUUUGACAGGUAAGAGAUCCACAUACAGAAAUCCAACAUGCUAGAGGAAUGAUUUUGGGUGAGCUAUUGAAGAAGAAAGCAGAUGAAGGAGUGGCUGUGAGAGUUAUGAUUUGGGAUGAUGAAACAUCAUUGCCCUUUAUUAAGAACACACAUGAUGAGGAUGCUGUUACAUAUUUCAACCACACAAAAGUAAUAUGCAAAAACUGUCCUAGAUUACACCACAAAUUCCCAACACUAUAUUCUCACCAUCAGAAAACUAUCACAGUAGACACCAAAGUGCCUAAAUCUGUUAGUGAUAGACAAAUUAUGAGCUUUGUUGGUGGAUUAGAUUUGUGUGAUGGUAGAUAUGAUACUGAACAACAUUCAUUGUUUCAAACACUCAUUAAGGAAUCACAUUGUUAUGAUUUUUACCAACCAAACAUUCAAGAAGCAAACCUUAACAAAGGAGGACCAAGAGUGCCUUGGCAUGAUGCUCAUGCUUGUGUUAUUGGUGAGGCUGCUUGGGAUGUGUUAACAAAUUUUGAGCAAAGAUGGACAAAGCAAUGCGAUCCUUCGCUUCUAGUCCCUACGAGCACCUUGGUUAAUCUCAUUCCUCAAACAAACUCAAACACUUCAAUAGAAACUAAUUGGAAAGUUCAAGUUUAUAGGUCUAUUGAUCAUACUUCUGUUGAUGAUUUUUGUGGAAAUUUCAAUGUGGAGAGUACUAUCCAUGAAGCUUAUGUUGAAGCAAUUAGGCAUGCUGAGAGGUUUAUAUACAUUGAAAACCAAUACUUUAUUGGAGGAUGCCAAUGGUGGGGAAAAGAUAAGCAAUGUGGAUGCACAAAUCUAAUUCCAAUUGAAAUUGCACUUAAGGUGGUAAGUAAGAUCAAAGCAAAAGAGAGAUUUGCAGUGUAUAUAGUUAUACCAAUGUGGCCAGAAGGAGUGCCUGAAAGUGAAUCUGUUCAAGAUAUAUUGCAUUGGACAAGAGAAACUGUGGCAAUGAUGUAUAGAUUGAUUGGUGAAGCAAUUAAAGAAAGUGGUGAAAUAGGACAUCCAAAAGACUACUUGAAUUUCUUUUGUCUUGCAAAUAGGGAGCAUAAGGGAAAAGGAGAGUAUCUUCCAUUGGAUUCUCCUUAUCCUGAAACACAAUACUGGAAUGCACAGAAAAAUAGAAGAUUCAUGGUUUAUGUUCAUUCCAAGCUCAUGAUAGGUAAUAUUAUUAUUCUGUUAGUGUUUAUUUAUCAUUAUUUUAUUUUCCACUUUUUGGUCUUUACAUGUACAUUACUCAAAGGAAAUUUGCAUACUUGUGUCCCCGACCUCAACUCGGUUGCACCGUUAUUCUGAGGUAUUAUCCAUUUUUGAGUCUUGUGUGAGGUAUCACAAUUUUGUCUUUAGUUAAAAGACAUUUAGGUGGGUUGAGAAGAGUAAGUGUCUAUAAACCACUCUUAGCUUCGAUUUCCAAAUAACGUGGGACUAAAGGUUAUGUCAACCCUCGCGUGUGGCUUAAGUCCUUCUAAAAUCUAACUUCCAAGUAUUUUUUGAGGUAUUGUUUGUUUUUGGUCUUGUGAGCUCUCACGAUUUUGUCCUUAAUUAAAAGACGUCUCGGUGGAUUGAGAAGAGUAUAUGUUUGUAAACUAUCCUUAGCCUCGAUUAUCAUGAAAUUUGAAAUUUUUGGUGAACCGAAAGAAACACAUGGUGAUAAUGACUAAUAAUAAACUUACAGGUGUUUUUACCUUUUUGAAUUCAUGCACCUCUUCUUCACCAAAUUCAUUUCCAAUAAUUUUUUUUCUCAAGGCAUGUAAUAGUUAGUGUUUUUUUUUUUACUAUUUCAAAUUUACAUAAUGUUUAAAAUAUGACAUAAUAACCAAUAAUUGAUUCUGACUCAGUUUAUAUAAGGAUAAACAAGCAAGUAAUUUUGUGCAAAUAUUAAAUUGUAGCUUAAAUUUUAUGGAUAUUUUUGUUUGACAAAAGUACUGUUUUUUUGCAUGUAUGUAUGUCACCAGUGGAUGACAUGUACAUAUUAAUAGGUUCAGCUAAUAUGAACCAAAGAUCCAUGGAUGGAAAAAAGGACACAGAGAUUGCCAUAGGAUGCUUUCAAUCUCAAGAUGAACUUGAGAAACAAACAAACCUUGGUGAUGUUCAUGCAUACAGAAUGGCACUAUGGUAUGAGCACACAAAUAGUGUUGAUGAAUUAUUCUUAGAGCCACAGAGUUUGGAAUGUGUGAAAAGAAUGUGUUCAAUUGGAGAUCAAAUGUGGGAAAUCUACAGCAAUGAAGAAAUUGUAGACAUGGAAGGUGUGCACCUUGUUACUUAUCCAAUGAGGGUAACACAAGAAGGGUAUGUGAAAGACUUGAGUAAUGGAGUUUAUUUUCCUGAUACAAAUUCUCUAGUGAAAGGGAAGAGAUCUACAUUGUUGCCCCCUAACUUGACCACUUAGGAUCAAAUUUGGUGCACUGUUUAUAAUUUCAAAAAUUGCUUUAAAACAAAUUUGACAUAAAAUACAAUGUAAUCAUUUUUAUCUAUAAAUUGAAGAAGAAUAUGGAUCUCAUACUUUUCACAACAAUUAGUUCUAUCUAUAGACAUAUUUAUCAUCACUUCUUGCUUGAUCUGAGUAAUAUAGAAAAAAUUAUUCAUAAUUCUCAGUCCAAAAUAUAACCAAUAUAUUUCCAAAACACUAUUUUUAUAUCAACGGUACGUAACUACUCUAUUAUUAUUAGUUUUGGUUUUUCCUAAAUUAUUCUUCCAAAAGUAGUCAUAUUUUAGAUGGAUUGGAUACUAAAUGUGUACAUAUCCUAAGUAGGGGUGUGCAAAAAUGUGAUUAACUGAAUUGUAUCCAUAAACUAUUUAAUAUGGUGCAAUUUUUUUGUGGUUCAAUUUGAUUCAAUUUAUGGAUACAAUUCAGUCAACCACAUUUUUGCACCUUAGGAUAAUUUUUACCCGUUCAACAAAAUAUUUUUUCACAGCCAAAUUAGAGAGUAAUAAAAUGUAGUAUAAUUUACUUUUGUAAAAAAAAAAAAUGUAUAAUUUAGUAAAUAAUUUUUAUUUUAUAAGUAAAAACAUGACAUAAGCCGAAAGUGGAAAAGUUUGAAUUCUGAAUCCAAUCCAAAUCCAUCGAAAAAGACAAAAAUAAAUUUGGAUCGUGAUCCCUUGAAGAAUAAGUUUUGCAAUGCUAAGUUGACAUGGAAGAAAACUCUCAAUCUCUGGUAAAUUCAAUUUUCUUAUUAACCUUUCAUAUAUAUUUCAAUUUCUGAUUCAUUCAUUACCCAGAAAUUCAAUCAUCAUCAUUAUCAUUAUUCUUGAUUUCGAAUUUGUUCUUUAUCAUUCAUAUUCAUUAGGGGUCGAGGUUGACGAUUGGAGAAACACUAUGUAUGGUGUGCAUUCCAUUGAUUGGAAUAGCUGAAGCUUUGUUUUGCAGCUUAGCUGGUUGCUUCGAUUUCCGUAGUUCAGAGCUGAAGAAGAAAGAAAAAGAGAAGAAGAUGUUUUCUACCUUCCAAGAGAUUCUCGCACUCGCUAACGAUUCUCCUUGUUCGUUUCUUCAUUCUCUUUCAUCUUUUUUUGUUUGUUUAGGAAAUGAUUAUUACUACUAUUUUUAAUUUAUUUGUUUUGUUUUAAUCUUGUAGUAAUUGGUAUGAUUUUUGUGGAAUGCAGUUAAUGUGAAUGAAAUUGAGGCGUUGCAUGAGUUGUACAAGAAGUUGAGUUGUUCAAUCAUCGACGAUGGUCUCAUCCACAAAGUAACUAACUAACUAACUCUACUUCUUUAAUUUAAGUCUCAUUUUCAAUUUGAUUUAUUCGAGUUUAUCUACUGACGCAAGCAUUUGUGAGGCUGGUAGAGUUUAUAAAAACAGCUUAUGACUUUGUCCAAACACAUUUUCAACUUAUUUUUGUAAGAUUUCUAGGUUAGCUUAUAGCUUAUAUAUGACUUUGGCACUAUUUGGAUAAACAACUUAUUUGCAGAUUAAAGAAUAAGUGCUUAUCAUGAUAACCACUUGUAUAUAAGCUAUUUUUAUAGUAAAGUACAAAAUACAGUUAUGUUGUUGGUUUUCAUAAGCUUUCUUGCAAAAGAAGCUAAAAAUAGUUUGUGAGCAAUGCCAUAAGUUUUUUUUAAUAAGCUCUCAUAAACAAUCUCACAAAACUUAUGCUAGUAGUUAAGCUCUAAUAAUCCAAUGGAAAUUUAUUGUUUUGGCCCCUUCACCCCACUCAUAUUUUGAAAUUGAUGGUAUGAGAUAAAAAAGUAGAGGUUUCUCAUUGGAUGUGAAUGUAAAACUGAAUUACACUGGUAGUGUAUGCCUGUUAUAAUUCUAUUUAUUUAGUGACUGAACACUCAAUUCCAUCUUUUCAUAUUGUGGUCGCAUUAGUCGUCUCACAACUUUUUUGCACCAUGUAAUGUUCUGAAAUAUUUUGUCAUCAAUUUUGAUAUCCUCCAAAUUAUUUGGUGAAAAAUGAAUCUGGAUCCUUUGAAGUCAAAAUGCUGCUAAAGCUGUCUCCAUCUACAAUGUUAGUUGUUGGACCAAUCUACCAGUUGAGACAUUAAGUCAAGUGUUAAAUUAAUCGAGUUAUUGGCAUUUACAUUUUUCGUUUUUGAGUCCUGCCGGAACAUUUUGGCCACCGAGGAUCCAUGUUGUUGAAAAAUUCUUUGAAGGGCUAUUUAUGGCAAUGCUUUAAUCUAUGAGGGGCUAAUUUGGUGAGACUAAUCUUUAGAAGACUAUCUUUGUGACACUCCGAUCUUUAAUCCACUGAAUCAUCCAUUUACUCCUUAUUUAUUAUUAUCAGUACAAUGCAUAUUCUUAUACAAUGCUCUAAGUACAAUGCUUUGUGCUGUUUUUAAAAGACAAAAAACUGUGUUUGGUGUCGACUCUGUUAGGUUUAUCAUUACCAGCACCAGUGUUGAAUUUCUGGUCAGAUAGCACUGUUUUAACUCUUUUUUCAUUUUCCCUCUAUGAAGGAAGAGCUUACAUUGGCACUAUUGAAGACCUCAGUUGGCAAGAAUCUUUUCCUUGAUAGGGUAUAAGCAUUUUCAUAAUUGUUAUUGAUUCUCUUUUUGUUUUUUGUUUUCUUGAUAUCAUUUGCGAGGGUAUAUUGUAUUAAGGAAGUCAAUUUUUUGAUUUGCAAGGAAAACACCUGUUAGGAACCCAAUUUUUGUAUUCAAGUAGGACGAAAUAUAUUCACACUCUACUUUCAUUUUGUUCACACCACUCAAUCUAUUCCUACUGGUACUUUUCACCCUGGGAAUUGUAAAAUAAAACCCCAAAGCAUAUUCAAUCUUAAUUGUUUAUAUUUUUAAGUCCUAAUCGUUGCCUUGCCUCACAAACUUAGGUCUUAAAUUGUUGUGAUGGAUUGAUAUAGCUUCCUAGUUUUUGUUCUCUAAGUAGAACUCUCUAAAAGAUCAAAUACAUAUUUUUCUUUUGUCAGAGAUAUUGCAAAAUGUAUCUUACAAAUUGACAGAUGUAAUUCUAAUGUUUUAAUAUCUAAUUUUUCAUUGUUUCCCAUGUAUUAUAUCCCAGUGGUAUGAGAUGAUGUUCUAUGUGUAUUCUCCCCAUUUUUCGUUUUUUUUUAUGCUUGGAUCCAAGGGUUUUAGAAAGAAAGAAAGGAUAAAAUUUUCAUUUUUGAAUCAAAAGUGAUAUAAUAUUUGUAUAAAAGUAUCCAAGGGAAUGGGGCAUUAAGGUUGUGUUAAUCUAUCAUUUUAGACAGAUAUACGUCUAUACUUGAUAUGCGGAAUGAUAUGUUGUGUUAUGAUUAUUCUUCCUUUUCUUUUCUUUUUUGACGUUGACUAUUCUUCCUUUGUAUGUAUAAUUGAGUACGUUUGGUUGUUUGUAAAAUUUCCCAGGUCUUUGAUCUCUUUGAUGAAAAAAAGAAUGGCGUUAUAGAAUUUGAGGAGUUUGUGCACGCUCUCAGUGUCUUUCAUCCUUAUACUCCAUUGGAAAAGAAAAUUGAUUGUAAGACUUCAGUAAGCAUCUUGCAGUUGUAUUUUCAUAUUAUUUGUUUAGUACCAUCUGUAUGGAUUAAAGAUCAAUUAUAUUUUCCUGGUUUGCUUGCAGUUGCUUUUAGAUUGUAUGACUUGAGACAAACUGGAUAUAUUGAACGAGAAGAAGUAAGUAUCUUGGCAUAUUUAUCCUAGAAUAAUAUUGCUCUAGAAUUUUCUUAAUGCAACAUCGAUUAAAUUGGGGUCUCAUAUAUCUUCAGUGACAAAUAUGGGAAAAUAUUUCUUCCAAAAAAAAAAAGGGAAUAUAUUUGUAUAGAAUCAUUAUUAUUAUUUUUGAUGAACUUUGACUUAAUCUUAUUGAAAAUUCUACCUUCCCACGUGUUCUAAAUUGUCACAUGUUGACCAAGUUUUUAGGAACUAGUAUCUACAUUAACAACCAACUAAAGAGAAAAAUAAGGCUGGCUUUGACUAAUUUUUCUGUUUUAUUCUCUGAAGCUCACCUAUAUAGUUGCAAUAUAGAGAAUUACAGAAGUGACAAUUUUUACUAAAUUAUCACCACACAACCAUUUUUUAGUUAAAUCAAAAUUAUAUUAUUUCUUUCAGUGUAACCAUAUCCUAUAUACACUUUUGUAACCAAAAAAAAAAAGAAAAUCCUAUAUACACUUUCAUUUCAUAAAUGGCGUUAACAUAAGCUUCAUCAUUGAUUCAAAUAAGUCCUUGGGUUACCUUAUGAUUAUUUCUUGUGUGAGGAACCUGUAUUCUGAGGGAGUUGCGCAAUCUUGCGAAUAAUUCCUUAAGAUUGUUGAUGCUGAUGGCCGAAAGAUGAAAAACCUGAAGCCAAAUUUUUCGGUCAAUAACUCUGAAAAAUGAAAUCCUCUUUUAUGUUCAAGAGAUCCCUAAAUACAAUCCCCAUAAAUAAAUUCAAAUUUUAUUUAGUGGGGAGAAGAUGAAACAGCAACAUCGCCGAUACUAUGCUCAAGCUGACAGCUUCAUUUCUUCAUGUCUCAUUCAAGAUCAGGCAACUUCAUUUCUGAUUCGAGAUUUAUCUUGAGGCAUUGGCAAUGGCAUAACUUAGAAAAAAUAAGCCUGUUGAUAUCUCCUUCCAAAGCUCGAUGUUGGAUUUGUCUUCGGCACGAGGAGGAAAGAGCUUAAGCAAGAUUUGCAGCGUUGUCAUGUCUACUAGAAAAAUGAAAUUAAAGCCUUGAUUCCUUCUUGCGUUUAUGAUUGCGCCAGAGAGGUUGUCCACCGCAAGCAUAAAUGCUACAAAUUUUGCUUGCAUUCUUUCCUCCUUCUGCCGAAGACAAAUCCAACAUUGAGCACAUUGAGCUUUUGAAGGAGAUAUCAAUAGGCUCAUUUUUUUCUAAGUUAUGCCAUUGCCAAAUGCAGAUAAAUCUCGAAUCAGAAAUGAAGUUGCCUGCUUGGUUUGUGACAUUCACACUUAGCUCGAGCGUAGUAUCCAUGGUGCUGCUGUUUCAUCUUCUCCUUAUCCAGGGUGCUACUGUUUCAUCUUCUCCCUGCUAAAUAAAAUUUGUAUUUAAAGUCGGUUCUUAUAACCACCAUGAGGGCCCUGCUUUUUUAUAUAGCUUGUUUCUCCCAAUACUUAUAUGUUUACUAAUGCUUGGAUCUAUUUUGUUAUCCUUUUCCAGGUUCGGGAAAUGGUGGUUGCCAUUUUGUCAGAAUGUGGUAUGGAUGUGGAAAAUGAAAUCCUUGAAUCCAUUAUUGAUAAGGUAAUUGUUUGCUGGAACAUGUGUUUCUCGUAUGUUGUUUAAGUCUAAUCCCUUAGGUAACAUUUUAAAAAAAAAACAGACAUUUCAAGAUGCCGAUGCUGACAAGGAUGAUAAGAUCAGUAAAGAAGAGUGGAAAGCAUUUGUCAUUCGGAACCCAUCACUCUUGAGGCACCUGACUCUUCCUGAACUGAAGUAAAAUACUCCUCAUACCUUACCUCUUUUAAUUUUAUUUAUUUCUUCUUUGACACUUUUAUUCCUGCCUUCGUCGUUCUUGUAUUUACUUUUUUUCUCCCAUAUCUUAUAUAAUUUGUAAAUUUGUAUUAUAUGAGUUGAUCAUUAUAUGUCUUCACCUCAUGGGAUGAGUGAAUGAGAACGAUUAGUAUCCAAAGCAUUAGCAAGUGCUGUAUUGUUCAAUUCACUACUUGCAUAAAUAGUCAGAAUAAAUAUUAACAUACUUAGACUACAGAGAAAGUGUUGAAAUUUUAAAUAUGUACUUUUUUUUUCAUUUUGGAAAAAAAUCUUUGUCAGCUCUACAAACAUGUCAAAUUAAAAUAAUGAAGUCAUGUAUAAAUCUGUUGAUAAGGCCAAUAAAUUGUAAUACGUGAAUUUUGAUGUAUUGCUAAUGUAAAUUUGCUUUAUACUCAUUUCACCAUCAAUACAAAAGUCAUUCUAGGCACCAUUGCCAACAUUUUGACAGUAUUAUGAUUCAAUGGUUGGAUUGCAUUGGUUUAGGACUGAAUUCAAGCUUUAAUUUUUGUAUGGUCACUUGCCAGGGACGUAACCACUCUAUUUACCAGUUUCAUUUUCAACACUGGAGUUGAUGAUUUCCACUAGCAACUCAUUGGCUAGUCAAAAUCUGACAUCAAGGAAUUGAAGCUUGUUCUGUUUUGAUGCCUCUGCUGUUGCUUCCCUGAGAAUUAGAUUAUGGUGAUUCCUUCUCCCAUUGAUUUGAAGAUCAACCGGGCAAAUUUUUUGAAAGUGGACAAAUCCAACAAGUUUUGAUUGAGUAAAGUGGUGCUCCAAAAUCUUAUCCAAACCGAGUGACCCGUUUAAAUUGUAUCAAAUUGUGGUGCGCGGUGUAUACCUUGGUUUGGUGCAGUGUACAAACAUUUAAAUGAUUAAAAUGUGAUUUAGUAUUAAAACAAACAAUUUGUUGAAUUUUAUUGUGUUUAAAUUAUACAUAGUCUCCAUGUUGUAGAUGCAAUGACGCCUGAGGAGAAUGGAACUGAUAACAGAGACCAAGGAACUGUCGGUACCCAUCUGGCACGUAACGUCAUCAGAAUAAAAUCUCGCUGCAGUGUGAUUGGGUCAUCAAACAGCUAUCAUCGUUUUUGCUUGUCAUUAUAAUCCAGGUUGGUGACUGAAAAGGUUAAAACACAGAACGCAGUUAUACUUACAAUUGCAUUAGAACCAAAUUGAUGACUGAUCAAUGCAACCAAUUACAUGACAAUUACAUCGGCUUUCAGUCUUAAUUAGUAUUGUCUCUUAGGCUGCGUGUAGGAAUCGGGAGGGGGAAGCGAGGGAAAGACUUAUUACUAAUAUAUUUUGUUUUUAGAGUAUUAUGAAAAGAGGUAACAAAUUAAUAAAAUCUUUUUUAAGUUUUCCAAAACUCUCCAAAGUCCUUUAAUUCAUUUUGAGUUCUUCAUAGGAUAAAGCGUGGAUGUCUUUUUUUAGGUGCUUUUGGGUAGUAAUGUUUUUUUUUAUGGUUUGUUAGUUAUGUUAGAAUUAGGUAUUUUGAUAAAUAAAUAAAAUGUUCAAAUAAGUCAUUCCACAAAACUAACAUGUAAAACAAUUUUUUUAGAGUUGGAUGCAUUGUGUGGUUUCAUGCCUAGUUGUUCCAUCAAAGAUGAAUGGCAUAUUACACAUUAGAAUAUUCAAAGGAGUUUAAUAAUUAUGUACUGUAAAAAAGGUUUUACACGUCCAUAUAAUUAUUUUAUUUCAUUAUGAUGCCAUUUUAUUAUAUUCAAAGUUAUAUGUACCAAAGAAGAUUUUCUUCAAAAAAAAAAAUGGACCGAAGAAGAUAAAUAAACAAAAGAAUAAAAAAAAAGCUUGACGAGUUUAAGAAUCACGGUUAGAACUAGAUUUUAGAAAAUUGAUGCAAUCAUAGUUAAGUUGAGUUCCAUCCAAUGGUUUCAUAUUGGAUUCCAUGUCAGAUAACAACUGAUUAAAUAAACUGAAAAAUUCAUAAUCUAUAAGUAGUGCAGUUUUCUGUUUGAUCAAGAAACAUUUUUCCCUUCCUAAGGUUUAAAAAAAGAACAAAGGGAUAGGUUCAAAGUACAACUUUGUAGAAGAACGAAUCAGAGUAAACGGGGAAUCAAGAAUCUGAUACAGUUAGAUUCAUGAUUGAAAUGGGAUAAUUAUUUACUACUAAAGUUUCCCAUUUCAAUCAUCCUUACCUAAAGUAUGAAUAAAUGCACUACUAUAUACAGUUAGAUUCAUGAUUGAAAUGGGACUAUCAGCAACUUGUCCCAUGAUUAUCAAUAUCAUUGAUUAAUGGGACCCUUGAACUCAAACUACUAUAUUUCCAAGUCCACUUAUUCAUCUUAUUAAAUCCUUCCCUCCUAAAGAAAGGAAAAGGAGAAAAAGCAAAGUAAAGAAAAAACAAAGUAAAUAAGAGAGAGAAAACAAAGUAAAUAAGAUGAAAGUGUUGUCCUUGUGCAUGAGGUAGUAGCUCAGUGGUAACGGGUAAGAAUUUAACCUUAUAACUUCAAUAGACAGAGUUCAUAAUCUCCUCAAAUACAGUUAUAAAAUGAUUAUUAGUGUUGUCUCUUACGAUCAACUUUUUCUUCCCUAGCAUACCGGGUAAAAUGGAAAAGCAAAAUUAAUGAAAAGUAAAUACCUAAUUCACGGGGUCCUUCAAAAGACAAAACUUUUUCUAUUGUCUUUAUUUGCAAAAGACAAAUACAAAGAAACAAAAAUGCUAGUGAAAUUCUCCACACGUGUGUCUACAUUAGCCAAUUUUUCCUGGCCUCUCCAUUUAUCCUUUUUUAUUGCCUUGUGUAUUUUUCAUAUACUGUUUGUACUGUAUCAGUAUGUAGUAGUGGCUUCAUACUUUCUGGCUAAGGUUCCACUCUCCUUACUAAGAUAGGCAUCUUUCUUUUCAUUCUUACUGUGGGGAAGUUCACUAUUGUAUCUUCUUCUGCAUACCAUCUGCAUGUGAAACAUUAAAUUUAAAUGUCUAAUAUUCAUUGAAUUAUAUAUUAUAUUUUUUUACUGAAGUCUGAAAUUAGCUUAGUAGAGAAAUUUUGCAUAAAAAUGCAUCAUAGGAUUGUAUACUAUGCAGAAUCAACCUAACAACAACAAUAAUGAUGCUAUACAAAUUUGGUUCUGAACAUCGGGUAAUUUUGCUUCAAUGCAAGAAAAUAAGUAAACAGUCCCAAGAGACAGUAGUCAAAUGUACUUGUCCAAUGAAACACACAAAUCUUACAACAAAGGUUAGGAUCAAAUGGCUUUUCUUUGUUCUGAUGCAGCAUUUAAAAUCUAUAUGGCCCCCACAAACUUUACUAGUUGGAUUCCAUAUUUGUCCAUAUGGAAUUAGAAAGAGACAUUUUUGCUAUUAUUCUAUCUACUUGGACACAUAUGGAAUCUGUGAUUUCAGAAAUUUUAGUGUCUGCUCUUAUGUUAUAAUUUUGCCUCUGCUCCUAAGUUUAAGCAAUAUAACAUUUAAUAAGUAUAGAAUGAUUAUUACCUGAAUUGAGUAACAAGGUGAUGCAGAAAGAUGGAAGCUUCCAACCUUGCCAAGUCAAGACCAGGACACAGCCUUUGUCCUCCUCCAAAAGGAGUGAAAUUGUAACUGUUCAUGUCCUUAUCCUGAAAACCCCCCGUUACAUUAAUUUAACCUAUACGUGUAGUAACAUGAAAAUGAACUAUAAAGAAACUAGAUUUGAAUUGUAUGCAAUCGUCUAAUCAAGAUCGAACGGCGCAGAUUUCAGUGCCGGUUUUAUUUUUUUUAAAUCCAAAAUACCAAGCUUGAAAUCAGGAUUGUCUUAUUUUGACCAGACAGUCCAAAUGUGGCUAUAACUGCAUGCAGUCACAGGGUUGUGACUGGACAAAACCUAUAUCCAUAUAAACUAUACCAAGAUCUAAAGUGUAGAGGACUUUUCUCUUACUUGCCACCUCCAUGGAUUGAAUUGAUAUGGGCACUCAUAGUUUUUCUCAUCUAGAUGAACUGAUCUAAAAUUUGCAAACACACACCAUCCUUGUGGUAUUAAAUACCCUUUUAUUUCAACAUCUUUUAAGGCCUUUCUCAUAACACCAUUUAUAAUAUUUCCCAUUCUCAAAGUUUCUGUGAUUACCUGUAUAAGUUGGGCAUAUAAUAAGUCAGUUUAAAAUUAUGGAUCAUUUUUGUUUGUGUUUGACAAACACACUUGUGCUUGGCUUACUUUUUGAGUAAAUGGCAAUGAUAAGUAAUCAUUCCAACACAAAGGCUUCCCAAGCUGAUCUUUGAGUUUCUUGAGCUUUAUAUUCUCCACCUGUGAAUCACCAAAUUCAGUUACCAAAAGCUAAUUAAGAAAUCGUUUCAAGGAAUUUUUUAAGGGCAUGUGUUGCAAUCACAUACCAUAACCAUUGAGAUUUUCAAAAACUUGGGUGAAUGGGAGGAAAAAUUGCACACGUUUCUACCACUAGAACUUUCAAUCAUUUAUCUUGAGUUUCUGAGUAUGAUUGUGAUGUUUCCGUUUUGAUUGUUUAUAGUCAUAUAUAGCUAGUAUAGAAAGGACAUAACCUACCACUACCAGCCAAUUUUGUCUAUGGAAAAAUUUCAAACUUCAAUGACAUAGAUGAAAAGAAGCAUAAUGGUCACUCGCAAAAUCUUGAUUUUCUUUUAAUAAAAAAAAAAAAUGUUAUUCUAACUUUAGACUAGGCCAUUAGGAGCCAUCUGCAUAACUUUUGACACGCAAAUUUAGCAUCAAAUUCGACAACAAUAUAGAAGGUUAAACAAUUCGUAUGCGAUUAAUUAUCUAAACGAGAUGGUUAACACACAUAUACCGUCAAUUGUUGUAAAGCAGGAGGGCAUUCUGAUAGGUAUUUUGUAGCUAGAGUCAUAAGAACUGGAACUGAGUCCUCUCCAGGAAUCAUCAUAUCAAUAAUAUUAUCUGCUAUUAAAUCAUCUGUCAAUUUCUCACUUGUAUCAUUAAGAAGGACAUCCACUACAUCUCUUGGAACUUCAAAGAUGCCUUUAUUUCUUUUAGCUUGGACAGUUUUUCUCACUAAUUUCACCAUUUUCUUUUUUGCCUGAAACCAAAUGUGAAGUCAUCAUUACUUUCAGCAAAGCAUGCUAUAUAUGGUAGAAGAAAUCAAUCUCAUUACUACCUGUAAAGAUUGAUAGAGUUUGGUUCCUGGUAGGUUUAUUGGCAAAGACAUUAGGCCAGAGAUAAAUUCCUGAAAAUGUUUUUUUAGAAGUUCCAUUUCUUCACCUGGUUCCAAACUAAUCAAUGCCUUAACCAGUACAUGAAAGGCAAUCUAUGGACAAAAAAAGAAGAAGUGAUUAAUUGUUGGUGUUUUUUUUUUUGGUAGAAAUUAAUUGUUGGUGUAAGUAUCUUGGAAAAUAGUAAAUUAUUGUGAAUCUCCUUUUUAAUGCAGCAUGGUUCCAGUAAAAUGAUUAUGAACCCUAUAAAGAUAACUAAGAUAUAUUUUUAAUUUAAGUAGUUAAUAAUAUCAUGUUGAAACAAAGUUGGAAUCAAAAGACGAGCAUGUUUAAAAUCACAUUGAGUUUGACAAAAUCAUGAUGAUGUGGUGAGUUUGUUGAAGCUCCAAAGUGUAGCUUUUGUCAAAAUCACGACGGCACACCAUGAUUUUUCCAAAUUUAUCUCUAAUAAUUUAAACAUGCACUGCUAGAUAGAUAAUUUGAUCACCAAUUAUUACUUUUACAACUCAUGCAAAAACAUAAGAGAGAGGAGGGUCAAUUUGUGACAUGAUUUUUGACUGGUUGCUUUCAUAUAAACAACUUGAACAUAGAAAAAGGUGAUAUGCCAAAUAUAUAUUUAAGAGAAGGAACAUGCAAUUUUUGUUUUAUCUUGUGUCAGUUGAAUGGAACUCUUUUCAAGAAGUCACCGUGAGAUUGAAGGUAAAAUAUUAGAGUUCAAACUUUGGAGAUAGAUUCUGACACCAACACACGUGGGAGAGAGAAGCAAACAAAGAUAGUACAAACUCACACACACUCAGAAACUGAGGGGGAAGGAAACAGAGGUAACCUUUUUUGUUUCAUCUUGUAUGUAUAUAGGUUGGUCCUCUUUCCAAUUUGCCAUUGAUUCUUGUACAUACUUCUGCAUAUCUGAGGUAAUCUGAACCUUUAACUGUUGAGACUUGAAGAAAGCACCAAUAAGUCCAUGUAUUCUCCUUUGCAAGGUUCCAUUGAUGAGCAAAAUAGAAGACUCUCCCAUUAACUGCAUCAAUGACUUGGGAUAAGAAGGAACAAAAACCUUUGCAUCACUUUGUAGUAUAAACUUAUUCACAUCUGCAUCUGUUGAAACAAUGGUAGGGCUUCCAAAUAUGUGUGACUUGAACACUUUACCAUACCUGCAACAAUUUGCAACAGCACACCACAAAUCCUUGUCAAAAACAAACAAUCUCGCGUGGCUUUUCUUAUUUUUAAUUAAAGUGACACUAACGACCAUUUUACUGACAAACACACUUUCUAUGAAGCUUUGUCUCUUGAGCUUCAUAGAAAGGUAGCUAUGCCAAUGAAUGAAAGUGAGUUAAACUAAAAUGAAGUAUUGUAUGAUGAUGAACUUACAUGGCGCAUCGCUUGUUCAUGAAGCUCUCAGGGCGGUCGGUGUAAGCACAAGAAACAAAAUCUAUGGUUUCACCAAUAAAAGGCCAUCCAAGAGUGCCUAGUGGAAGCUGAUUUCUUUGUUUUGGUUUGAGCUUAAGACUAAGCCUGUUUCUGUAGUAGAGGAUCAAAGUGCACAAGAAAAUUGGUGUCACAAAUAGAAUCCAAGUAGUGUCCAUUGUUUUUCUCACACUUUCUAUGCUAGCUUUGGCUUAAAUAUGCAAAUAUACAUAAUCAAUCAUGUAUAUGGUGGACACAGCCGUAACCUAGUUAUGCUUUAUGAUAUAUAUAGAUUUUUAUGUGCAUGUGUGUGUGCACGCGUGCAAGAGGGACAUAGUAAGAGGUUUGUGAAGCAUGAGCUUUCUUUCUUAAGUAUAAUAAUUUUAGUUUCUGCAAAUACGAGGUUUUUUUUUUAUUUUAGUUUAUGCAACAAAAAAAAAACAGUUAUUUAUUAGAAAGAAUUUUCAUUUUAACUCUAGAAUCAUUUCUUUUAGUCACUCAUCUCACUCAGCCUUUCACACUCCCUACUUCCAACCUCCUAUGGUGUUGAGAGAGAGAAGAAGAUGAAGGUGAAGUAGACUUCACGUGAGAAUAUUAGUCAUAUGUGGCAACAAUGACAUGUCAUUCUAGAUGUGUCAAAGAUAAUAUAAAAAAAUAAAAAUAAAAUAAAAAAGAUAAAUCGUUGAUAUAUCAAGUGUGAGUAAGAGUCUUACAUUUGGAAAAGUGGAUUUUGAAUAAGAUUUAAGUAAAGAGAUCCAUAUAUCUAAUGUCUUUAGCUUUUGAACGAAGAUGUGGUGUUCAAAUAACUUAUGUUUGCUCUCAGAUCAAUGUGAUGAUUUGCCAAUAUUUUAGGGCUUCUCCCAUGGCCCCAACAAUGUUAUCAAAGUUGAUAGUUUGAUCAAAGGUGACCAACUUUUUGUAUCGAAAAUCUUUACCACAAUGGGUUGGUUAGGCAUUGUGUCCCGUUGAGCCAAUGGCAGAGUAAAUAAAUGUGGAUGAAAAAAAUACCGCUCGAGGAGAAGUAAUCCCAAAUUAAUGAAUUGACUUGCACAUGAGAAUGAGAAGAAUCUCACGAAUUUAGAACCAAAAAUGUAUUUAGUGAAUAUGCUAAUCAAUUCAAUUAUAUAUUUUAUUCUCGACAGAAGAAGAAUUUUAGUGCUAACUUUGUACUUAAUUGGGUCUCAGAACAGUGUACCUUAGCUAUAUUUUAAACUCCAAGAAAAUAUACACUAUUCACUAAUAAUGUAUCAUAUUUCAACUUUUUAAAAAAAGUUGUUAAUGUAAGUAAAGUGAGAUAAUAAGAUCUUUCAUAUUUUGAGAUCUUUGAAUAUUUGUAUUAAUUGUUAAUGCACGGUUGGUUUCUGCUUAGUUUAUGAUUUUGUUUCAUGCUAUACAAAGAAUAUAAGAAGAAGACCCCACUGAAGGUUAUGAUUGUUAUUGCAAGGGCAUGAUUGUUGUUGUAACACAUUAGAUUUUGGCCCCCCCUUCAUCCCUUUUCCUUUAAUUCUUUGGCAAUAGCAGCUGGGUGAGAUCGUGCUUUCAUGUGAAACUCAAUAAGUCCAACCAUGUUCUCAAGUUAUCAUCAUUUCCUUCCUUUCUCUUAUUAUAUGCUAGAGCCUAGAGGCCACAUCUACCUUUCUUUCUCAUUAUAAUAUAAAUUUGCUUAUCUUUUCCCAUCAUUUGAAUCCUUAAAAUGUAUUAGGCAAUGGUACUGGGAGUAUAUUUUUCAAAGUUUAAACAUUGUACUAGAACAAUAUAAAGUUUAUAUAUCUUCUCGAUUUUGAUUCAUGCUGCUGCAUGUUUUCGUAUUCACGCGGUCAAUUAUAGGCUAAAUUGUAUUUUUGGUCCCCUAACUAUUUAGGUAGUAUCGUUUUGGUCCUCUAAUUAAAAUUCGAUUGAUUUUGGUCUUUUAACUUCUUUCUGUUACACAUUUUGGUCCUUUCUGUUAGUUUUAAUUCAAAAACGUUAGAUUUUCUUCAUCUUCUUUUCCUCUUUUUCAUUUUCCCAUGAUCUCCAUCGACCUUUCAACAACAAGAAUUCCAUAAAAAUUUCAGAAGAAAAUGAAGAAAACCUAACGUUUUUGAAAUAAAACUAACGGAAAUGACCAAAAUGUGCAACGAGAAGAAGUUAAGGAACCAAAAUAAAUCAAAUUUUAGUUAAGGGACCAAAGCGAUACUACCUAAAUAGUUAAGGGACCAAAAAUGCAGUUUAGUCAUUAUAUCAUUGUAGAUUUCAAAAUCAAUUUUUAAAAUUAUUAAAUUUGUUUGAACCCUAAACCUUAAAUCCUACAACCAUCGAUGCAGCUGACUGUGUGAAUACAAUAAACCUUUUUUAUUUAGCAAAUGAAUUUAAGAAACCUACGAUUGCGAAUAAUAUAAAUUCAUGUUUUCUUUAAAAAAAAUUCUUUAAUUAAAGUAAGACUGAUACUACACUUGAAUAUUGUCGAAUAUGACUCAUAGAAGUAAUGCUGCAAUCCAAACGACAUGUAUUUUAAUACAAGUUGUACACUAUCGUAAACCUAUGCCAUUGAAAUAAUUGAAUAUAUUAAUUUGUAAUGCACGGUCGAUACACAUUAUAUAUAAAAUUCAAUUGUAAAUUCUUUCUAUUUUAUUACAUGUGUAUUUACAAUUGAAUGUGUUUUUCUAGAGGGUACAUUGAGAGUCUGCAUGGGCUACACACAACAAUGGGUUUGCUACGAAGAGUUGCUCCAAUAUAGUGUUGGUUUUUGUUAGGAAUCAUGGAAACUAUUGGAAAUAACUUGAGCAUCUUCAUUCCGUAUUGGCGGUAGCGCAUCGCUACGAAGCUUAAAAUGUUAGCCGAGCAAAUGGAGGAUGGUGAUGUGUUGGUUUUUUUACAGUGGUCAUGGCCGCAGAGUUAAAGGAAAGUCAUAAAUGGUCGUUUCAAACGGCGCGUCAUUUUAUAUGAAUAUUUGUUGUUAAAAAGACUUCUAAAAAAAUUAUUACAAAUAUGACAUUUUAUAAGAAAAAUAUUUGUUGUUAAAAGGACCGAAAUGUUAUAAAGAUUUAUUACAAAAAACAGGCCCAUUAUGAUUCGUUGUUAUUUGAGGAAAUUGAAAAAGAUAUGUGGUUUUAAUUGAAUUUUUUAUUUGUUUUUGAAAUACUUAUGAUUGUUUAUGAGUUUGAAGGUGUGAAUCUAAGUUUGAAACUUGAUUAUGAAUUAAAAAUAAUAGAGGAGAAGAGCUCAAAGAACGGCCACGAAUGACAUAAUUUCAAAUGAAGAUUUUGUGUUGUUGAUUCAGUGAGAAGUGGGAGAGAGCGUAUGAUCUUGUGUUUGUAUUUAUUUUGUGUUUUGUGAAUGAGAAAGAGAGAAUAGAAGAGAGGAGAGAAGGAGGAAGGAGGAAGAGAAGGGAAGGAAAAAAAAACUCCACAUCCAAUUUUAUUUUAUUUUUAUUGAUUUUUUUUAGGUUUUUUUGAAAUUCUUUAAAGAAUGUAUGAAGAUGUUUAUGAAGAUGAAAUAGGAAAGAUGAACACAGGUAUUAAAAAUUAGAUUUUGUUGGUGUAAUGUUAGAUUUGGUAGACAUGCAUGAUCUAAUGGUUGUAAUUUUGAAAAGAAAAAAAAUCAAACGGUUAAUUAUUUUUUUGAAGAAGCUAAAUUGGUUCCGGGAGAAUCGAUCGUGAGACCUCGAGAAGGAGCGCACUCUCAGGUCUCAAGUCAAUACUAUCAGACAAACCCAAAUGGUGGACAACUUACCGAGUAUAUCUACUCUAGACAUUGGGUUAACGUUUUUGACGGAGAUGAUUUAUUUGGCUAACGGAGUUUAACUUAAGGGAGCAAAAUGUAAUUUAAUAAGUUAUGGACCAAAAUAAAAACACCAAAUAAAAUACACGAUUUUUCACUUAUUCUUGUAAAAGUUUUGUUUCACUAAUUUGAUCUUUGUUUGUUGUUAAUUGGUUUGUUUUUGUUUUCAUAGUCUUUGAUGCUAGUUUGUUGUUGUCAAUUAUUGAGAUGACAAACAGAAGACCAAAUCACAAGAACUUUUUUUAUCUAAGGAACCAAAUUACAAGAACUAAACCGUAAAGUAUUAGUAUUACACCGACAAACAAAACUUGACCUCCCUAAAAAACACUUGGACCAAAAUGUAUAAGGAUUUAUUUACAAAAAUGUUUUUAAAUUUCAAAAGACCAAUCACAGAUCAAAAUGAGGAAAAAUAAUCUAUUUUGAAGAAAAAUAAUCUUAUAAAGACAAAUGAAAAACCGAAUUAUAAGAAUUAAGAACCAACAAAAUAGGUUUUUUUUUUUAGAGAUGAACCAACAAAAUAGGUGAGAACAUAUAUUGUAUAUGCCGGCAUCAAUUACAACAAAUGCAACUCUUUAAAAAAAAAAAUAUCCAUCGCAAAAGAAAAUAAUUAAUAGUACUUAAGUUUGGCUUUCUCUAAGGUACAAAAAUAAAAUAAUUUUGCAUCAUAUGGAAGUGUAUUUUCACCAGUUAAUCAAUAAGUCUCAUCUCAUUUGAUUAAAUAGUGAGAAUUAUUAAUCUAAAAGUAAUUUGUGCAUGAUAUAAAACGUACUCCCUUCGUUUUUAAAUAUAAGCAAAUUUUAUUUUUUAGGUUCAUUCAAUCAAUGAUGUAUGUAGUCCAUAUUAUGAACCACAUACAUCAUUGAUUGAAUGAACCUAAAAAAUAAAAUUUGUUUAUAUUUAGAAACGGAUGGAGUAUCUAACAUGCGCAUAUUAUUCACUUACUAGUGGUUGGGUAAAACUUGCAAUUUGCAUGCAUUCUAGUCUGCACAAUGUCAUGACAACAUUCUUUUGGGGAAUUGUGCAUGCUUACACGAGUUCCAUGUGAUUCUCUAGUGCUCAACAUAUUGAAUAUGCUUGGUUUUGGAAGUUGGUAAAUAACAAUUGAUAAUAAAUAAAUACAGACAAGUUGAUGAUGAGGGAGGUCCAAUGUAUUGAGUAUUGACCAAGAACAUCGGUAUAUUAUUCAGCAAAUUGAUCCUUCUACCAAAGUUGCUUGAAUACAAAACAAACAUAUAUCGUGUCUGUUUCACAUGACUGUUUUAUAUGCCAAAAUUUUGCAUAACAUAUUAACAUUAGUUACAAAAGCAAAUAUCUAAGAACCAAACACACGAAAUUAUAAGAAUGGAGAACAAGUACAAAACAAAAAUGGAGAAUUAUACCAAAAUCUUUUCAAAAAGUUACAAAUGUGAAAGUUUGAUAACCCAACCUAUUCUUAAUGUACUCCCUCAGUAUUUUAAUAUAAGUAAAAUUGAUUUUUUAGGUUCAUUCAUUUAAUGAUGUAUAUGGUCUAUAAUAUGAACCACAUACAUAAUUAAAUGAAUGAAUCUAAAAAGUCAAUUUUGCUUAUAUUAAAAUAUGGAGGGAGUACACGUUUCUCAAAACAUCAAAUAAAUCAUUCCAACAAGCAUGAGAGGUUAAGGUUAAACUCUUAUUUGCUAGGCUAUCUACACAAGAAUUACAUUCGCUAUAAGCAUGUGUCACCAUAAAAUUCUUGUCAUUUAGUCAAUUUUUAGUCAACGUAAGACUAAUCACUUAUAGUGGAAUUUUGGAAACCUCAUUUUCAAGUUAAAGUAACUUGCAUCACUACACUAGCGUCAUUAACAACCAACAAAAUAUGUUUUCUUGCUCUAGAAAGACUUCCUAUACAAGGGUUCAUUAUAUCUUGAACCAUGCAUAAUUUGUUGUAUGCAAGUGUGUAUUAUAUGUCCCACAUCGGAUAGAAUAGUAAAGGUUGAACAUCUUAUAAGUAAGAGGACUCAUAAACCCAUUGCCUUAAGGUUUUUUGUAAGAGUGUGACGUCUCCCUCACUUGUGUGGUUGUUCAAGCCUCGAUGUGGACCGUCCGCGGAACUCCCCCACUGACCCAACAUAAUUUCCAAUCAAGUCAAACCAUACAUAUGAAUUUUAACAAUCUUUCUUCGAAUACGAGACUCUCAUAUCACUGCACGUGUAUCAUUGUUAGCAAGCGACAGAACCCAGAGUCUUGACUCAACAAAGGCUACAAUGAUCUUCCCUCGAAAGAAAAAAAAAAGGCUACAAUGAUCCGAUUAUUCUUGGAUCCAAAAGGGGGGGUAAAAUGAAACAGUGUGUGUAAUGAAAUUAAUUAAAUUACUAUUUUUCUUAUUUUUUGCCUAUUUUUAUGAUGAAACAGCGAAGGGGAAAUGACGAUUCUUAUACCUUUAAUUAGAGGAGAAAAAUUAGAGUAUUAGAUGAGAUGGAUUUGUGUUAUAGUUCGUUCUCUCUUAUUUCUUUGAUUCAUAUCCAUUGCUUCAUUUCAUGAUUGCAAAAUUCAAGCAAAAGGUAACAGCCAACUUUCACUUGUAGCAUAGUAAAAAAAUCGAUUUUUUCUUGACCAAAAAAAAAAAAACAACCAUUUUUUCUACAUACAGUAAAAUGAUGAAUGGGAGCAAUGUGAUCAACAGUAACGGGUUCUCCCCAUCACCUUUUUAGGAACCUAUGCACAUAAUAGUUAUUUUUUGAAGAUAAAUAAACACUCUUUAGUUUUUUACCUUCAUUUUUUUCUAUAUUUCUCUUCUUCUAUAUUGCAUCACCAACUUAUCACACAAUUCUUUUUUUUUUUCUUUGUUUUAAGAUGUAUAAACCCUGAAGAGGUGUACACAAAAUUGGUUACAAAAUAAAAAUAAAAAAUAACUACCGUGUAGUAAACCUUUUUUAUAACUUAAUUGGAAUUUUUAUUUUACAACUUAAUUGGUUACAAAAUUUAAAUUACUUCUCUAUCGCAAAACUAACUACAUGUGAAGUCAAAUUAAAUAUCACUAUAAGAUUUCUAUAUUGCAACUCAAAGCGUAGACAUGGAGUAUUGGCAUGAAAAUCUUCCUUGCAAAAAGGAGCAUGCCCUUAUUGCUUCUUUACUACUCAAAGCAACAUUGGCAUUCAUGGAUAGUUAAGAUACAAUUUCUCAAUUCGAGUGAUCAAAACAUAUGUGCCUGAACCAUGUGUCAUUACUCAUUAAAACUAUUCUAAACAUAUGCGCCAAUGUUUGAGAUGAGGAAAAGAAAUAAGUAACAAAUUCUAAAUUUAUAUUCAUAAGCCAUUAAAUAAAUGAUAAGGAAGAAAAAGGAACUCAAAUACAUCUUGUACUCUUUCAUGUAAAUGAGAAGGAAGACUAUGUUUUUAUCUUCUACAACUCUACUUAUCCUAUUACACUUUUGGAAAUCAAAUACAACAAAAUUGGACUUGGAAUAAGAGAUUUGGAGUGUGUACAAUUAUCAUAAGAACUUCAGUCCAAAGAGCUAUUUUCUUGAGUGCAAACUAAUCUCAUUCUCACCUCCUAAAACACAGGGGAUACCAAAAACGGCUCUUAAAAACACAGCACUAAACAAUUUUAGGUGUCGAAUCUUCAAAAAAGUCAUUCUCCGCUAUAGAAGAACGCUUCAACGUAUAAAGAAAGGCUCGCAUCAAAUUCUUUCACACAAAGUUGCAAUCGUUUCAAAACCAACAUGAACCCAUCAAGAGAAAAUUCGGCAUCAAUGGCGUUAGAAGGAAUGAAUAGCUUCUUUAAUAUUAAGGAUGAAUUUAUUUCAUUGAAGGAGGAAAAUGGCAACUCAAAAAAGCAUUUAAUUUAAUAGAAUGUGGGUGGGAAGCGACCUGCUAAGCACACUUUUAAUGAUUGUUUUGGGAGGGAAAAUCUUGAGGGACUAGGGUUAAGCAAUUGCCUAUACUAAGAAGCUUUUAUAUAUAUAUAUAUAUAUAUAUAUAUAUAUAUAUAUAUAUAUAUAUAUAUAUAUAAGUGAAGUGAUAAGUGAUAAAUAAAUUUAGGGUUAAUAGUGAUUUACCCCUGUAAUAUAGGUCAUUUUCGAGUUUGUCCUCUGUAAAAAAUUUGUUUUGGUUUUCGUCCUUGUAAAAUUAUUUUUUUCUAGAAUACCAAAAAUUCUGAAAAUGGCCUAUUAGGGGGUAUUCUGGAAAAAAAUAAUUUUACAAGUACGAAAACCAAAACAAAAUUUUUACAGGGGGUAAACCCAAAAAUGACCUAUAUUACAAAGGUAAAACAAUAUUAACCCAUAAAUUUACGGAUUAAUGGUACAUUAUUGCCUCCCUUAUGUCUACCAAUCAAUAAAUAAAACCUAUUAUAAUUUGAUUUCAUCUUUUUUCUAAUUUACUCCCUUUGUCCCAAAAUAUCUAAGUUUUUUUUCAUUUCCACACAUAUUAAGAUAAAUGCAUAAGUGAAAGAGAGAGAAAAAUGAUUUUGAGUGUCCUUGUCAAGCAUUGGUGUAUUUACCAUUAUCAUAAAUACAAAGUGGAAGAUAUUGAAUUGAGAAUGAUAAAAGUAGUAUUAAUUAUAGUGUAUAAUUGAAAGAAGAAGAAGAAAAAAAAAAAAAAAAUGCUAAGAGCAUCUCCAAUGGGGGGUCCUUACUUAACAAGGACCACUCCCCGUUAAGGACCCUCCAUUGAAGGAAGAAAAAAUGAGUCCUCGUUAAGGAACGGGCAACUAUAUAAGGAGCAAUAAAAUGUGUACUACUUGGUCCUACUUGCAUAAAGGAGCAAUAAAAUGUGUAUUACUUGUUCCCACUUGUAAAAAGGUGUAAUAAGACAUAUUUAAGUACUUUUCAUUGAAGUCCUUAUUAGUGUAUUGUCAUUGGAGUCAUUGAGUCAUUAAUAUGUACUUUUAUUAAAAAAUUAUAAAUAAGUGAUGCGUCACGUGGGGUCCAUUUAAGGAGUCUUUGUUAGGGAACUACCAUUGUGGAUUUUCAAACAAGUUUAGAAGUCCAAAGAAGAAACUUUUUUUUUUUGAAAAUUGUGUAUUCAACACAAAAACUUUAAAAAGGAACAUUUUCUACAUAUAAUCAAUAGUAUAUAUAUAAAGUAAAGUUUUUUUAUGUCACGUGUCACUUCCACGUUUAUUCUCAAUAUUAUUAUUAUUUUUUAUUUUUGCAAAUCAUUAUUUUAUUACGCAUAAACAUCUCAACAAACUUUUGAUCUUAUCCACUAAAUAUUUUAUUUAAUUUUUUAUUGAAUUAUUAAUAUUUUAUGUAAAGUAAAUAUCUCAACAAACUAUAUAUAAUACUUUCAAUCCUAUCCAUUAUAUAUUUCACUUCAUUUGUUAAAUAAUUUUUGAUUUAAUGAAUGAAUGGCUACUUCAAUUUGAGCAUUAUUUGUUUCAAUAAAUGUAGUUUUUUUAUUUGUUUAAGAAUUUACAAAUUUGUUAAUAAAAAUUUGAAGGAAAAUUUGUUAUUUUUUUAAAUUGAUUUUUUUUCUUCGAAUUUUCAUCAUAUCCACUAAAAAAUUCAUACUACCAAAAAGUAUUUUAUUAAAGUUAGGGCCCGUUUGUUAAAAUUUAAAAUAAAAGUGAUUUUGACAUAAAAUAAUUUAAAGAUUAUAGUCUAAGAGUCUGUUUGUUAUAGCAAUUUUAAGAAAAAAAAUCACUUUUUUAAAAAAAAAAUAAUCACUUUUAAGAAUGUUGCAUCCGUUUGUUACAACAUUUUAAAAAAAUCAGAAUCUAAAAAAAAUCUAAAAACAACAUCAAAUGAGAAGUUGUAGCUUCUCCAAAAAUAGAUUUUUUUAGAGGAUAGAGAAAAUAUGGUUUAAAAGAUUGAACAAAUUUUGUAACAAAAAGUCUCUUUUAUAUAGUUGUAUCCAAACAAACUAAUUAUUUGUUUAAAAAGAUGAUUUUUAUUAAGGUAAACAAACGCAAAAUAGAUUCUGCUUUUUCCUAAAAUCUCUAAAUUAUUUUAUGUUAAAAUCACUUUUAUUUUAAUCCGUAACAAAUAGACCCUAUAUUUUAGAGAUUUUAUGAAAAAUCAGAAUCUAUUUUGCCUUUGUUUAGUGUAAUAAAAAUAACUUUUUUUAAACAAAUAAUUUAGUUUGUUUGGAUACAACUAUAUAAAAGGGAUUUUUUUGUUACAAAAUUAGUUCAAUCUUUUAAAGCAUAUUUUCACUCUCCUCUAAAAAAAUAUAUAUAUUUCUCAUUUUGAAGCUGUUUUUAGAUUUUUUUUUAAGAUUAUGAUUUUUUUAAAAAGUUGUAACAAACGGAUGCAACUCUCUUAAAAAUGAUUAUUUUAAAAAAAAAAGAAAAAAAAAGUGAUUUAUUUCUUAAAAAAAAAACUAUAAGAAACGGUUUGUGGUACCUAUUGAUUAAAAGGUGAUUUACAUGUACUUAAAAUAUAUUUUUUAUUCUAUUUGUGAGUACCUAUUAAGAUAUUUGUCAUGUAUUAGUCUCUGGUAAAUUUUAUUUGCGGAUACCAUGCAUACCAAAUUUUGCUCAUCUUUAAGUAUAUGUCUAACCUGAACAACGUCGGGUAAAUACACUAGUUUAUAAAUAAUUUCUUCUUUUAUAUCUUAACAAGUGUCUUUAGGAUAUUAUUAGCAUAAUCCAAAAAAUAAUUAAUAUUGAAUAGGAAACUGAGAUUUGUUAUAAUAUUUUUUUAUGAACAGAAGUUGCUAUUAAAAUAAAUCACCUUUUGUUUGAGAAUAAUUCAUUUUAAUACCAACAAUGAUUAAACUUGUACUAUGACUUAAUUGCAUAUUUGGUCAUUUAAUUUAUUUGUUGUUUUUAAUUUAGUCCCAUAACUUAUUAAUGUUACAUUUUGGUCUUUAAGUUAGACUUCGUUAACCAAAUAAAUCCUCUCCGUCAAAAAUGCUAACACAAUGUCUAUAGUGGAUACAUGUUGUAAGUGGUCCACCAAAGACCUUAGUAAUUUGUUUAAUAUUAAUUAUUUGAUCUUUUAAUCAAAAUGGCAACCAUUAGAUCAUGCAUGUCUACUAGAUCUAAUAGUACACCAUCAACAUCUAAUUUUUUUUAUACAUUUCUUUAUCUCCUUCUUUACUCAUCUUCUUCAUCUUCAUGAACAUAUUUGUACAUUAUUCAAAGAACUUUAAACAAACCCAGAAGAAAAAAAAAAAUUAGGUGGCGUUUCAUAUCACUAGAUUCUUAAAAUUUUGUAGCUUUAAUUCUUCAAUGCACGCAUAAAGCAAGAGAUCACCAAAUAUUUUAAAUUUAGGUGAAUUAAUUUUGUAAUAUUAGUUUCAACAUAAAAAGUGUUAGAGGAGGUAAAUUCAAUAUUGUUUUGAUACAUUGUAAAAGUCAAUCGUACAAUUAUUCCUUUUUAACAUUGACAGCCUACACAUAAGGAUGACACAAGGGACUUGCUGAUGAAUAGUUUUGAUUUUUGUGAGGAAGACAUUCAUCUCACGAUGGAUGAUGGAAACUACGGGAACCAAAUUGAGCAUCUUCAUUCCGCAUUGGCAAUAGCUACAAUGUUAGCCAAGUAAAUGGAGGAUGGUGAUGUGUUGGUUUUCUUUUAUAGUGGUGAUCGUCGUAGAGCUAAAGGAAAAUCACACAUCACAUCGUCGCUUCAGAUGGCAUUUGUUGUUAAAAGGACCAAAAUGUUAUAAGUUUUUUUUUACAAAAACAUACCCAAAUUAUUUGUUGUUAUUUUAUGAAACUGAAAAGGAUAUGUGGUUUUAAUUGAAUUUUUUAUUUGUUUUUGAAAUAAUUCUGAUCGUUUAUGAGUUUGAAGGUGUGGAUCUAAGUUUAAAACUUAUUAUGAAUUGAAAACAACAGAGAAGAGCUCAAAGAACAGCCACGAGUGAAAGAAUUUCAAAUGAAGAUGUUGUGUUGUUGUUGAUUCAAUGAGAAGAGUGAGAGAGUGUAGGAUCUUGUGUUUGUGUUUAUUUUGGUUAUGGUUAUGUGAAUGAGAAAGAGAAGACAUAAGAGAGAAGAGAAGAAGAAGAAGAAAAAAAAUAAGAGAGAAGAGAAGAAGAAGAAAGAAAAAAAAAAAAGAGAUCCAUUUUUUUUGGAUUUUAAUUUAUCUUUGGAAAGGAGAAGAAGAAAGGCAUAAAAAAAAAAUUAGGUGUUGAUGGCGUACUAAUCAAGUAGACAGAUAUGAUCUAAUAGUUGUCAUUUCGAGAGAAAAAAAUCAAACGGUUAAUAUUAAACAAAUUACUAAAGUCUUUGGUGGAACGCUUACAAUGUGUAUCCAUUUUAGACAUUGGGUUGACAUAUUUUGAUAAAGAGAAUUUAGUUGGCUAAUAAAAUCUAACUUAAUGGACCAAAAUAUAACGUUAAUAAGUAAUAUGAUCAAAAUGAAAACGACAAAUAAGUUAAGGCACCAAGAAUACAAUUAAGACAACUUGUAUAAACUCUUCUUGUGUGUAAUCAGCAAUGGCCCAUUUCUUGAUUAUGUAGUUUCUUUGAUGCUAAACUCAAAUCAUCAUAUCAGCUUUUUUUUAGUUUAAAGUUAAAACACCCAACAUAAAUUUAGGCAAUCAGUAUUAAAUAUAUUUUUCAUCGAACUUACCCAAAAAAACUCAUUAAAUGGAUGAUUUUUCACUUAUUCUUGUAAAAGUUUUGUUUCAAUUUGAUCUUUGUUUGUUGUUAAUUAGUUUGUUUUUCUUUUCAUAGUCUUUGAUGUUAGUUUGUUGUUGUUAAUUAUUGAGAUGACAAAGACCAAAUCACAAGAACUUUUAUUUUCUAAGGAACCAAAUUACAAGAACUAAACCGUAAAGCAUUAGUAUAGUCAUAUUACACUGACAAACAAAACUUGGACCUCCCUAAAAAAAACUUGGACCGAAAUGUUAUAAGGAUUUAUUACAAAAUGUUUUUAAUUUUCAAAAGAUCAAUGAAAGAUCAAAAUGAGGAAAAAAGUAUCUAUUUUGAAAAGAAAAAAAAUUCUAAAGACAAAUGAAAAUUCGAAUUAUAAGAAUUAAGAGCCAACAAAAUAGAUGAGAACAUAUUGUAUUGUAUAUUCUCUUGUAAUUUGAGGAAUGUGGGCAUCAAUUACAUCAAAUGCAAUUCUUAAAAAAAAAAAAAAAAAAAAAAUCAUAAAAGAAAAUAAUUAAUAGUAUUUAAGUUUGGCUUUCUCUAUGGUACACAUAUAUAGUAAUUUUGCAUCAUAUGAAAGUGUAUUUUUUUACCCCUUAAUCAAUAAGUCUCAUCUCAUUUGAUUAAAUAGUGAGAAUUAUUAAUCCAAAAGUAAUUUGUACAUGAUGUAAAACGUAUCUAACUUGCACAUAUUAUUCACAUACUAUUGGUUGGGUAAAGCUUGCAAUUCGCAUGCAUGCUAGUCUGCACAUUGUCAUGACAACAUUCUUUUGGGGGUGCAUUCAACAUGUUGAAUAUAUGCUUCGUUUUGGAAGUUGGAAAAUAACAAUUGAUAAUAAAUACACAAGACAAAAAUAUCGUAUCCGUUUCACAUGACUGUUUUUAUACCAAAAUUUGUGCAUAACAUAUUAGCAUUAGUUUACAAAAGCAAAUAUCUAAAAUAUAAGCAAAAAAUUAAUCAAGUACUCUAAAUAAAUGUUUAUCAUAAAAGAACUUAUAUAUAAGUUAUUUCUACUAUCGAAGAGAAAAUGAAAGUAAAAUCGUGUAAAUUAAAAACAGUUUAUGACCAGAAGUUAUUUGGAAAAGCUUUUGAUAAUAAGCUAACAACUACUUCAAGACAGAUAUAUGUCAAGCAAUUCUAAACAUAUAACCAACACUUGAGAUAAGUCCAAAUAAGUUCUUAUAAACACCUAAGCAUCAAAGUUCAUUGUGUUGGCAGAAUUUAAUUCCAAACCAAUAUUGAUGCUUUAAAUUACCUUAGUAAUUUAUUUUUUACCAACCUCUUCAUUUGCUAUGUUAUUAUGGGUCUAAAGUGUAGCUCAAAUCUGGCUUUCUUCAUCAAACAAAUAAGGCUAUUGAAAAUGCACAUGACAUCUAUAACAGAACACCGGUAAUAUACAUCAAGUGCCAUCGAUUUCUUCUAUCGCUGUCUAAAAAGAACCAAUGAACCAAACCCAGAUUUUGCAAAUGACAAAUUAUGACAAUCUAAAAAAAAAAAAAGGUACAUGCUAAAACUCAUGAACCAGCCAAGCAACCAGAAAAGAGAACCAUUGAAGGAAUCAGCUCAAAUAUAUUCGAAUCCAAAAACUUUUAUUCCCUUUCCUUCGGACAAAGAUUGGAGGCACAUCAUCCUUAGAUACUUGGGAUGGAUUUUGAUCGAAUAAGGUUUUUAAGUAGAGCUUUCUCUUCUUCAAUUUUCCGUUUCUCCUCUGAAUCUUUUGGUUUGAUAUUUCUCUUCUCUUCCAAUAUCCACUUGAAGAGUUCCCGCUGUUGGCCUUCUGGAAUCGGUUCUCUUUUAAUCACGGGAUUUGCAAUUGGUGGCGGGGAUGCAGAUGUCACAGCAACAGGAGCUGUAGUAUCUUUAACUGAAAUUGGGGGUGCUGCAUCUUUUUCCUCCACCUCAGUAUCUUCCUUCUUUGUGCUUGUUCUUGCAAACAAAUAAACUACAGAUUUCAGACAAUCAUCAGAUACAACAUCAACAAGUUCAGGAUAGGUUUUGACAGUGAAAUUCACUCAAAUUUAGAAAACGAUCAGAAAAACCACAUGGGUAAGAUAUGAUAUGCUGGCAGAGAAAGUAGUUCAUUCAAAAUAUACAGACUAAUCUCUCAUGUUAUAUGUACUGACCUUUUCAGUAUGUUAAACUAUGUGUAUACAGAAUUGAGAGGCUAACUUAGCUAAAUUAUUGCUAGAGAAUAAACUAGUAACAAGAUCAACCAACACCUUUUGCUACUCAAGUGGAUAUCACACAAGGAUGAUGUCCAUGAUGUAUCAGCUCAAUGGAACAUGUUUGACUUUAUAAACUCAAGGGAUGGAGUUCAUAUCCCUUUGAAGACAAUUCUAAAAUAGCCAUUAGUGUCACUUUAACUAAUGAUAAUUUAUGCUUCCCCGAUGUUUCUUUACAAAAUCACAAGGAUGAUUUAAAAUUGAUGGCUCCUAUUUGUUGCUAAAGAAUGUAACUCGACAAGAAAGCAAUUGGAAGAUAGUGCAUAAGAAUACUAGUAAAAGUGGGUACUAAAUUUAGAAAACUAACUGUAACUUUGCUAUUAUCAAAUGUCCGUAAUUUUGAAGUAAAUACUAGGACAUUGCAUAGCUACUAACCAGUAGUUUGUCUAUAUGUAAAAUAGUACCAGAAAUGUGUAUUUUGUAUGUCUUUCAUUUGAUCUCCAGGCCUUUUAUCCUCUAUCUAAUUUACUAUCAUGUACGGUAGUACAAGAGAAAUUGCUUACACAUGUGAUUUCUCACAGACCUAAAACAAACAUACUCAGGCAAAGGGCAAUUGGUCAUCUUCAGUAAGUUGUGAGGCAAUUUCUGCAAGGUUAUAUUCAAAAUAUGUCCAUUUGAUGGAAUUUAAUACCAUUUAGGUUUCCAUGUAUUAAUUAGGAAAAUUUUAACAAUUAUAAGACUACAGAUCUUUUUCAAAUAUGUAUAUAGGAUGAUGUAUUACGAAAUUAUAAGGAUUACAUCAAGUUGUGGUCAAACCUUGUUUGAAUGGAUCGAUAUAAAGACAAUUAUAAACCAUAACAAUGAUUAUAAAACCAUAGAACCUUCAAAGUUGCAAUGAUGUUAAACUAGCAAACAGAUCUUAGAAGUUAGAAUGAUGCUACUAAGAACAUCAACUAUUACAUUAUAUAUUAAUAAAAUAAUAAUCAAACAAGCAUCACCAUAGAAAAGACAUAAGGUAGCCUCUUGUGUAUCGGUAGAAGAUGAAAAUAAAUAAAAUAACAAAGAAGGAAAUAAAAGGAAGAAUACAAGAAGUAGAUGAUGAAUGCUAGCUUCUAACCCCCUAGGCCGACUCCGUUAAACUCGGAUUUCUGGCUAUCCCACAAAGAUGUGUCCCCUUCCUAUUCUUAACGACCUCCCUUCAUCCCAUUUUUCCUGGUGCCCACUCAAUUUCUACUUAGCAUAACCAUCCCACCCCCUAAGUCUCAUCGGAUUUGGAUUCCAUAUGGUCUGGAAAUCCGAAGUUAAGCAAUCCAAACCGUCUAAUACUCACGUCCUGACAUUGUAAAUUGAUUUCAAAUACCAAGUCCGCACGUGAAUCAUCCAAUCUUUAUCUAAUGAUUUUGACUGUGAUUGCGGAAAUACGUGAUCCCCUGACUACAUGGGAUCCAGAUUCAAGUCUCAUCCAGUCCACAAUGUCCACAUAUACCUUUUUCCCUUUUGUGGAACAUACCUUCCACACAUUAGGCCAUGGCUUAACUGCUGCAUUACUGGGCACUUAACAUCAGUCACUAACUAUAUCGGUCUCAAACAUUUAUUUAUUUUUUUUUAUUUUAUAUUCAAUAUAUGGCUGUUUAUACUUUAUAUUAUUCAUGUAAUUUGUCCCAAAAAAUGAUCAAUUGUGGCGAUCCCGCUAUCUCCUUUUUGGGGUCGGACGCUCCGCGCCAUUAUCCGGGAUUGACUACCUAGGUGCAGUAGAAUCAGAAGAUCAUUAAGCCCACCUCUCCAAUAAAAAAAAUACUACAAUAGAGCAGAACUUAUGAUCUCACUAACACCACCCUCGUGAAUCAACUUGGCAAAGUCAAAUGCAGCUCAAUGGAACACCAUAUUGACCUUCCUGCCUCAACCAAUAUCAGCACAUCAAUUUUCGCGGAUAUUUUCCACAAACAAACAUGGGCAAGGUAAACCAAACCAUAUAACACUCAACUUGUAGUUUCAAGUUAGCUUCCCCCAUUUCUCCACAAACAGAAUCAAAUAUUCAAGGAUGUCACCCAAUGCAAUUUCAAAGUGAAAAAGAAAAAUUACGACCAGUUUAGUUUGAUAAAACAUCACCUUAACUUUCAUUUCCUAUUUUACUUUUAAUUACAAAAACAUCAGGUUAUUUUAUUUUUAAGUUUGCUUUCUUUUCCUCCUUCUAUGUGAUCAAUAAGUGAUAAUACAAAAGUUGGGUAGCUCAGCUGAUUUGAGCUAAGGGAUAAGGAGUUGGAGGUCUGAGUUCAAACUCGGAUGAAAGAGUAAAUAUAAAUCUAACAAUUAAUUAAUGAAAUUAGCCGUUAAAAAUAAAUAAUACUAGCAACCAUGAGGUUGGAUAGCUCAACUGUUUUGAGCUAAAGGUCAAAGGAACUUGAGGACCCCGGUUCAAACCUGGUGAGUGAAAAAAAUACUAACCUAACAACUUUUUUGAGCUAAAGGUUAAAGGAACUUGAGGACUCCCGGUUCAAACCCGGUGAAUGAUAAAAAUACUAACCUAACAACUAAAUUAUUAACUUUGGCCAUUUAAAAAAAAAAAAAAACAAUAGGAAUUGAAGCUAACAUUUUCAUGAGAGAAAAAGGAAACUUAGAUUACUCUUCAACCUAAAAGAUCUAGCACAUCACUACAACAACAAAUCAUAAUCCAAAAGAACAAAAUUAAACAAGUGUCAGUAAAAUCAAACCCAAUUUCACAAGUUCAUCCAUCAUCAAAAGGGGGCAAAAACUUAACCGAAAAAUCGAAUUUUUAGCUUUUUGGGUUGUAGAAAAAUUACCUCCAAUACCAAAAUUGACAGCCAAUAGCAUAGGCCAAACGAACUUGUAGCGCUUAAUGAAGGGUUCCUUAGGCAGCGGCGGAGGUGGAGGAGGAGCCGUUUGAGUCCCCAUUGACGGCGGCGAAGAGAAUUCGUUCGAUUUCUGUUGGCCUCGAAAUUGCUUCAGCUGCGCUGUUACAAAAAAAAAAAAAAAAAAAAAACAAUGAAUCGAAACAAGAGAGAAAAAAAUCCUUCAAGUGAGAGGAAAAAAAAUAGUACAUUUUUUGGGUUUGUGAUUAUAUAGUUUUGGAGAAGAAGCAUGAUCAGCACUACCACCACCUUCACUCAUUCUUUUCUUCACUUUUACCCUAAUUACCAAAUCACAUUUAAGACUCUAUUUGAGUUAAUAGAACAUAACAGACGAAAACAGAAAGAAAUGUAGUCUUUAAACCACUACAAAAUUUUUUGUCCGAUCUACAGAUGAUUUAAAAUACCAAAAUAAAAUUUUGUUCAUCAAAAUUCGUACAAGACAAAAAAAAAAUGUUCGAUAUUAUAAAAGUUUAUUAUUUCUUAUGUUGUGUUGUUUUAUCUUAAAUUGUUAUAUUAAAUACUUACAUUUUUGCAUAUCAAAAUUCAAAUGUACCCUACCCUAACUAUCGGUGGCAUUUAGGGUGGGUGAGGGAAAGAAUUUCUCAUCGAAAGAUACUUUUAAACCAUUAGAUCAAAUAAAGACUAUGGUAAUAUCAUAGUCUCUCAACAUUAGAUUAUUUUUUCAUUAUCUUCCAUCAUGCUUCUCUCUCCAUGUCUUACUCACUCACCACCAACAACAACAAUAACAACAACAACCUCUCAAAUCCAUUUGUUCCUCCCAACACUAUUUUUUUACACUAUUUUUCACCAUCUUUGUUUCUCCUAUGUGUCCUCCCUUCCCCCACCACCAUCAGUACCACCACCAGCAACCUCAAGAUUUAAUUUCACCUGGUUACCACCGUAGUUCCUAAUACAAUAGCUUUAAUCACCAUUUAAAAAAAAAACAAAAAUAUCCGAGAUUCACAAUUUCUAGCAUUUUUGUGGAAUGACCCAAAUCUAAAUUCACAACAGUUCACAUUCUCCAUCCAAGAUCCGAAGAAAAUCAAAAGAUAUGUUCAACAUAAAUGAGCCACGUUUAUAUUGGUUCCCCUUUGCUGGAUUAAGCAACUUUAAAGAACAUUAAACAGCAUAUAAAAGAAUCAAUUGAAGGAAUCAAUGAGUUUUCAGAAAUUAAUGGGUUUUUACUUUUUAGAAAUUAAUAGUUAAUUAUAUUCAUUUUCGUUUUUGUUUUCAGAAUCAGAAAUUAAUGGAUGAGAGGCUCGAAUUGGACAUGCAAUAGAGGUUAAAGUUAUUGAUGGUGGUGUAGGUUAAUUGCACGUUUUAAAAUCUGAGGUUGAAGACAAAUGCAAAGAAAUAAUAUAGUAAUGACAGACCAUCAUAAAAUAUGUGCUCCUCUUUAAUCUAAUGAUCAAAAAUUACUUUCCCGUGAUGGAAAAAUCAUUCCUUCAUCCACCCUAAAUGCCACCCUAACUAUCAAGAAUGAGUAAAAAUAUCUCUUAAAAAAUAUAUGAAUAAAAAUGUAUUUACUGUAGGGACCAAAAAUGUCUUUAAUGAAUUAUAGUGUAUUCAAUUCAAUUAUUCUCACUACAUGAAGAACUUUAGUGCUAACUUUGAACUUAACGUGGUCUCAGAACAAUGUACCUUAUUAUCUAUACCCUAAUUGCAGAAAACUACACACUGUUACUGAUAGCGUAUCAUUAUAUUUAAUCUUUUAAAAAAGUUAUUUUAAAUUUAAGUAAAGUGAGAGAAUAAGAUGGUGGAUUCUAGGGUGAGGGUCCAAUUAAGUCCUUCACCGGUGGACCACGAAGGAAAUACCGUUGGAUGAAAUGAAUGGUUCCGAUUUGUUAAAAAUAAUAUUGAGAACUUUUACAUUUGUUCACACACAAUUUUCUCCCACAUCUUCCCUUCUCCUUCUCCUUCUCCUUCUCCUAUCACUUGGUGAUCUUCCAUCACCCCACCCUUCAUUUUUAUCAAAUCAGAUAACCUCUCACCAUAACUUGAGCAUAAUUUUUCCUCCUACUCCACCGAUUCAUGAAAAUUGUAGUAUAUUGCAUUCCAAUUUUGUGUUGAAUAUUACUUGGUUCAAAAAAGGAUGAGUCCAAUUAGGUAGUUUGGUGUUGUUGCAAGGGUCAAGAUAUACAUAUUGCUAAUUUAAUUCCAUUCCACGCCAUUGCCAUGCAUCAUCUACUAAUUAAUUAAGCCUUCGUCUUCAUUUUUUAUUUCAUGUCAAAGCUUAUUUAAGCAAUUCAGAGAAUAAUUAAUUGGACGGAGAGAGAAGAAUCAAUAAAAUAGGGAAAAAGAACCAUACUCGGAUGACGGUGAGAGGUUCCCCAAUAUGAGAAAAAUGAAGGGUGGAGGUUGAUGGAAGCCUGACACGAGGAAGGAGAGGGGAAGAGAUCAUGGGACAAGAUUGUGCGUAAACAAAUGUAAAUGUUCUCAAUAUUACUUUUAACAAAUCGGAUCAAUUCAAUUAAUCUAACGGUAUUUCCUUCAUGGUCCACCGAUGAGGGACUUAAUUGGACUCUCACUCUAGAAUCCACCGAAUAAGACCGUCUCCACCGGGGUCUCAAAUUUAAAGACUUGGUACCUAUUAGAUACUUCAAUGGGUCUUAGAAUAUUUAUAGUCUUAAUUACCUUUUUGGUCCUCUAACUAUUUAAUUGGUAUCGGAUUGAUCCUCUACCUAAAAUUUGAUUUAUUUCGGUUUUCUAAGUUUCUCACCGUUACUACAUUUAGUCCUUUCUGUUAGUUUUAUUCAAAUAAACGUUAGGGUUUGUGUUAUGUGGGUAUCUGACCUCCUGUUUCACACAUACAUAUGAACCAUAACAGUUACCAAUAAUAUUUGUCAUUAUUUAAUUAUAAUACCUUAACUAGGCAUAUGACCAAAAUGAUACUAAUAAAUAAAGUUAGAUGACCCACAUAACACAAACUCUAACGUUUAUUUGAAUAAAACUAACAAAAGUGACUAAAUGUAGUAACGGUGAGAAACUUAAAGGACCGAAAUAAAUCAAUUUUUAGUUAGAGCACCAAUCCGAUACCAAUUAUAUAGUUAGAGGACCAAAAAGAUAAUUUAGCCAUAUUUAUAUUAACCGCUAAUGCACGGUUGGUUUCUGCUUAGUUUAUGAUUUGUUUCAUCCUAUAUGCAGAGAAUAUAACGAGAAAUCCCCAUUGAAGGGUGUGAUUGUUGUUGUAACACAUUGAAUUUGACUAAAUGAAAGACUCUCAAUACAAAGGAUGAGGAUCAAUUAUACGUAGAUCCAAAGUGGAAUAAAAGGAAACCAUGUCUAGUGAAAUUAAUUAAAUGAUUAAUGCUUGGCUAUUAUUAUGAAGAAAAUAGAAAAUAGAGAGGGGGAAAUGACGAUUCAACCUUCUACCUCUAAUUUAGAGGAGAAAAAAAUUGCAGCAUUAGACAAAAUGGAAUUAUGUUAUAUUUCAUUCACAUCCAUUGCAUCAUUUCAUUAUUUCAAAUUGCAAGCAAAAGGUAACAUCCAACUUUCACUGGCAGCAUAAUAAAAAUAUUCGAUUUUUUCUACAUAGUAAAAUGGUGAAUAUGGACCAACAUGAUCAAUAGUAAUGGGUUCUUCCAUCACAUCUUUUUUGUAAACUACCUUUGUAAUGUAUAGCUCUUUCUUUUUUUUGUGCCAUCAAUUUCUUGUACAAUUGUCUAGUAAGAAAGAACCCAUGAGUCAAACCCAAAUUUGCAAAUUGCAAAUAAUGACAAUCUAAAAAAAUAUGUACAGUCUAAAACUCAUCAACCAACCAAGCAACCAGAAAAGUGAACCAUUGAAGGAAUCAACUCAAGUAUAUUCAAAUUAAAAAAAAAAUUCCCUCUUUCCUUUGGACAAAGAUAGGAGAAACAUCAUCGUUAGAUACUUGGGAUAGAUUUUGACCGAAUAAGGUUUUUAAGAAGAGCUUUCUCUUCAUCAAUUCUCUGUUUCUCCUCUGAAUCUUUUGGUUUGAUCUUCCUCUUCUCUUCCAAUAUCCACUUGAAGAGUUCACGUUGUUGGCCUUCCGGAAUCGGUUCUCUUUUAAUCACAGUAUUUGCAGUUAGGGGCGGGGACACAGAUGUCUUGACAACAGGAGCAGUAGUAUCUUUAAUCGAAACGGGAGUUGCAUCUUUUUCAUCAUCCACAGUUUCUUUCUUCUUUGUGUUUGUCCUUAAAGCCCAAUAAACUGCAGAGUUCAAACAAUUAUCAGUCACAUAUCUAGCAACAAGUUCAAGAUAGGUUUUGACAAUAGAAAUUCACUUAAGUGAACUAGAGUUCGGAUCAGAAAAACCAGAGUUAAAUUUGAUAGUUAAAAAUGUGACAUGCUAGCGGAGAAAGUAGUUCAUUUAAAAUAUAAUUGACUAAUCUCGUGGUUAUAUACCCCAGUUAGUGGGAUAAGGAUUGGUUGUUGUUGUUGUUGUUGUAAUCUCGCGGUUAUAUAUGCAAGGAUGACUUCAAAUUCCCUCGAGGACGGUUGUAAAAUGGUCAUUAGUAUCACAUUAAUUAAUAAUAAUUUCUUCCACAAUGUUUUAAAAAAACACAAGGAUGACUUCGAAUUGAUGGCUCCUAUUUGUUGCUAAAAACUGUAACUCUAGAAGAAAGCAAUUGGAAAACAGUGCAAAAGAAUACUAAUAAAAGUGAUUACUAAACAGUGUUAUCAGAUAUCUGCCUUGGUGGCGCCAUGGCGGAUAGUGGCGGCGGACUUUUUAACAACUUCCAUGACCAAUUUGCGAAGGAUGGUGGCACCAAGGUGUUUUAAGGCAAGAUAUGAGGGCUCAAAAUGGCGGAUUUUCGGGUUUCUUCCAUCCGCAAGCGAUAAUGCUGUAACUCAAUUUAGAAAAUUAAUUUAGGAAGCGAACUUGAAAUUUAUUAUCAAAACCUAAAUGCAGCUAGCCAUAUUUUGAAGUAAUUACUUGAAGAUUAGAUAGCUAGUUUACAUGUAAAAUAAUACCCUAAAUGUGUACUUUGAUUUGAUCUUCAGGUCUUUUUUCCUCUAUCUAAUUCACUGAGUUUAAAAACGUCCAUUUGAUAAAAUGUAGCACUAUUUAAUUUUUUACCCAGGGAAGUUUUAACAAGUAAACAGCUAUAGAUCUUGUGCAAAUAUACAUAUAUAGGAUGAUGUAUUGAUGGCUUAUAGUUAUAAGGAUUACAGCACGUUUUAGUCCAAUCUAUAGCUUCAAACAUUAGUAAGGUGUGAGCUAGAUUAUUGUUGUAGGUCAAACCUUGUUUCAAUGAAUCAACAUAAGGAAAACUAUACAUUAUAACAGUAACCGUCAAAACAAUAGAACCUUCAAAGUGCAAUGAUAGAAAUUAUGCUACUUACUACUAACAAACUCAACUAUCAUAAUUAAGAAACUCAACUACCGUAAUUAAGAAAUAAUGCUACUACUAGAAACAGAUCUUAGAAACAAUGCUACUACUAACAAACUCAACUAUCAUAAUUAAGAAAGUGAGAAUGAAGGAAUCAUCACAACAGUAAAGACAUAAGGCAUCCAUCCUAUGGUACAAAUCCGAACACAAAUAACAUGAAAGAAGCAAAAGUAUUCAGAAACAUGAAUGUAUCGGUAGAAGAUGAAAAUAAACAGAUUCAGAAUAACAAAGAAAAUAAAAGAAACAACACUAGAAAUUGCAGAUUCUGUUAUACUCGGAUAUAUGGCUAUCCCACAAAGUGCCCCCUCCCUAUUCGUAACCGCCUCCCUUCUUCCCACUUUUCCAGUACCCCACUCAAUUUCCACUCAGCAUAACAAUCUCAUCCCCUAAGUCUCCUCAGAUUUAGAUUCCCUACGGUCGGAAAAUUCAAAGUCAAACAAUCUAAACUGUCCAAUGCUCACAUUCCGACUUUGUAAAUUGAUUUCAAAAACCAAGUCAGAACGUGAAUCAUACAAUCUUUAUGUAAUGAUUUUGAUUGUGUGAUUGUGGAAAAUACAUAAUUCCUUGACUACAGGGUAUCCAGAUCCAAGUCUCCUCCACACCACCUAUACCUUUUCCCCCUUUUCUGGAACAAACCUUUCCAUAUCUUGGGGCCAUCAUUUAACUGCUGCAUUUUUUAUUUUAUUUUUAAACUUGGUAUCCGGCCCAAGGACCAACUAAUCUUAUGGGCCCAAUCCCACCAUCCACUUGCACGGCCACAUAUAGCUCUGUACGGGACUUAGCUGAUCAAAAUUGGCAUAUGGGAGAAUCAAACUAGAGAGACCUUGAGAGGAGCACACUCCAAGGUCCCAAGCUAACACCGCUAUGCUAACAUUUAACUAUUGCAUUAACGGACAAUUAAUUACAAAAAACAUCAUGAUCAUGAAUCAUAAAUUAUUCUCCAACAUGAACUAUCUAGUACAGCAACAAGUCAAAGAAAUCAAACCCCAUUUCACAAACUCACCAAUCAUAAAAAAUGACUAAAAACCUAACCUAAAAAACUAAUUUUUAGCUUUUGGGGAUUUAGAAAAAUUACCUCCAACACCAGCCAAAAGCACAGGAAAAAAGAACUUGUAGUGCUUAAUAAAGGGUUCCUUAGGUAGCGGCGGCGGAGGAGGAGCCGUUUGUGCCCCCAUCGACGACUGCGAAGAGAACUCGUUCGAUUUCUGCCCUUGAAAUUGCUUCAGUUGCGCUGUUACAAAAAAUAUAAAUUAUGAAUUGAAAGCAAAAAAGAAGAAAAAUUCCUCAGAGAGAAAGAGAAAAAAAGAAUACAUAUUUUGGGUUUGUGAUUAUAAAGCUUUGGAGAAGAACCGUGAUCAGCACCACCUUCACUCAUUCUUUUAUUCACUUUUACCCUAACUCAGAUCACACUCUACUUGUCUUGCAAUACAACCAAACUCUUUUGUUUUUUCAUUAACUUUCUCACCAAGUUUUCUUUAGUUUUUUCUUUUUUCUUUUUUAAGAAAAAAAUAAUAUUAUUAUAUGUCUCACACAACCAUAAUAUCAACAUUGUUAGAUUUGAUAUAUGUAAGGAUAGUAAAAAACUUGUAGUUACAUACACGGGAUAUGUAUCCUAACAUAUAUUCGUGCUCCUUAUGUAAUGGAUGUAUGAAUAUAGAUUUAACGAUAGUAUAUAUGAAAUUCGUAUUUAUUAAUAAAUUAACUAUAUUGCUUAAAUAUCUUUAACUAAAUAUACAAGUUUCAUUUUAAAUUGAAAACCUAGAUAUUGUUUAUGCUAUUCUUCUCGAGCAGGCCUCUUGAAAUUUCACCGUAACUCAGAUUUUUUUAUGCUUUUGUGGAAUGUAAUGGACUUUAUUUUGAUUGUAAAGGAAAUGUAUGAAUGUUAUUAUAUUUUGGUAAAAAUGAAAUGAAUGUGAUGAUCUAUUGUUGUUAAAUUGAGAUGAAAUAAUGUGAUGAAUUCGCUUCUUAAAUUUUAGGUAAAUAAAUAAAGGAUUAUACAAAUCAUUUAAAAAAAAUGUUCUCGGUGGAUAUCCAUAAAUACCUACAAGUACUUGAAAUUUGUGGAAUACUUGUUGUUUAUACUUAAAAAUAAUUAUCAUAUUAGCCAACAUCAAUAAAUAGAUGAUUGAACUUUAGGCAAGGAAACUUCCCGGUCAAUGAAAGGUUAGGCAAUUUCUCAAGUCAGCCAAGAGGGUAUAUGGGACGUAAGAACCUCAUACUGAGUCAUAAUUAAGUGGGAUUGGACAAUAAUGCAUAAAAUUCAUGUUUUCUUGUUUGUAGUGCCAUUAACUAAAAAGAGGGUGAAAGAGCAAUCAUGUUCAUAGUGGAGUUGCGGACCAAAAGUUUUGUCAAUGAAUCAUGCCAUGAAGGGAGAAACUCAUAGUCGAACACGGGGCACCAUAAACUCCUGAAUGAGGAAAACUAACACACUACCCACAAAACUAGCUUAGCAGAGCCUAUACAAUUAAGGUCACGUUGUUUGGCUAAUAUGCAUAAUUUAGAGACAUCCAAUUAAACACAAAACUUAUUUUGCUAUAUUUACAUAUCUUUACCGGUCUUCCUUUUUCUAUCUGUUCAUGUAUUUCUUGGUGUAGCUAAAAAAACGUUUUGGGAAAUUUUUCGGUUAAAAAGGAAAAUAUAGUAAAAUGAGUGUGAGCCCCGUGAUUUAUUUAUUUUUGUUGAAAAGGGUGCGUGAUAGCCAUGGAGGAGAAGAAUUUCAUUAAACAUUGACUGUUUCUUUUCCAACCCUAUGGUUGUACAAUAUAUCUCUUAAAAUUGCUCACAUUUUUUGGACUAAAUCGAUUUGGAUAAUGAGACCAGUAUACCUCUCAAUAUUCCUCCAUUGGUCUUUGAUGGUAUUUUGUUCAAGUAAUUUUGGAUUAAAUCAUCAUUUUCUCGUAUCAUUAAUGAAGGAUAAUUUUAUAAAAUCAUUUAUACUUGCUUUUUCACAUAUAAAAUUAACUAUAUUUUUAAUUCGUAUGGAAUAGUUAAAGAUCUAUGAUUUAAGAUGGAGGAAAUAACAAUCAGUAAUGAGUAGAUUUUUUAUUUGGUACAAUAGAGGGAUAUCUACAACAAAAUUUUAUUGACUCAAACAAACCAUGUUACAUGAUAAAAAAUCAUUCCUUGAAGUAUGUGUAACCAAAAUUCUAGUUGAGCAUAAAAUGUGAAAAUUAAAACAUUUCAUAAAACUACAUAUUUUCAUCACUUUUAGACAGACAGGAAGAAUAAUUCAUAAAGAUUGUUGAAAAUCCUCGACUGGCCCAGAAAAAGAUAAAAAUAUUAGAGAUUCUUUUGAUGCAUUUUAUUUGCAAAAUGUUAUCUUAGGACAUGAUUGAAUUUCCUUUUUAACUAGUGAUGGGAGAACUUGAGACACAUUCCAACUACAUUCUAUUUCAUGCUAGAAAUCUAAACCCAUUCAUGUCCUUACAAAUGAAAAAAUGUUCAUGUCGUGGUCCCAUAGCAAAAGAUAUUGUUCUGAGAAGCACACAAUCAAGAGAUGAUAAUGCAACAAUAUCCUUUGAUUCUAUGUAAUAAUAUACUUAUAGAUUUGUAUUGUAAUUAAAAAGUGUACCCAAUCACUUGAAGUAACAACAAUUAAUAAUAUGAAAUUGUGUCCCUUUGGAUUUGACAUUCGUAAUGCAUUUGAUUUCUUAAAUUUUAUCCACAAAUUUAAUUUGUUUGAAGAGAAUAGAAUAUGUGAUGAACUGAUGAUAGGGUUUGAUUGUAACAUCACAUUCAUGGAUAAGGCAUAGGCAAAUAGAUAAUGACUCAUAAAUUGAAUGCUAUCUAUCUUCUCAAGUUGUAACUACAUAUUGAUGUUCAUUUGGAUCAGGUAUGGGAGGUUACCCAUUCUAUCAACUUUAUAGAUAUGUUCAUAGUUAUUGUAUGGUAUUACACUUGAUGAAUAUGUGACAUUCACAUUCCUUUCAGCCAACAAUAAUAAUUUAAAAAAUAAAAAAAAAAAAAAAAAAAGAGUGGUAUUCUCUUUGCCUUGGUAGAUAGUCUUUUUUUCUUUUUUGAAAAUUGGAAGAAAAUAAAAAGUGUUAACGUUUAGAAGUAGGAUAGUGGUCCAACAACUUUAAAGUACCAGCAAUACAUAGUUUCUCUUUCCCACCCAAAGAAGCAUAAAAUUAAUCUUUGCAAUAUUGAUUAAAGAGUAUUGUUCAAUUUAACUCAAUAUUAUCUUUUAUGUCCGGUUAGUUUGGUUAAUUGGACACAUGGUCCUUGUUGGCAUUGUCUAGUUGUGAGUCAAUGUGAAUUGACACUCAACAAAAGAAUUGCACAAUGUUUAGAAUUUAGAACAUGGGAUUGGUCCCAUCACAACUUCCAAAAGAACAAAGCAAAACAAAAUCAUAAUGAAAUUAACUAAUGACAUUGAGUUAUAUGUAAGCAAUUAGUUUGGUCUAUAAGAUCUUCAAAACUUAGAGGAAAAUCCUAUUUCAAGGAACUAUGGUAGUUGAACUAAAAGUAUAUGCAUCAUGCCAACUAUGUCUAACUACCUUCAUUUUUUGGGUCUCAAUCAAGCUUAACUAAAAUAGGACCAACGGAUUCUAGCUAAGUACAAUUAUGUUUACUAACUACCGAAAAAGGAGGUAUAUUACGAAUAGAAACUUCUAAUGAUGUAAAAGAGUUAGUAACUUGGGAAAAUAUCAAUAUUAUAAUUUAGAGCAUAUUUUUCCUUAAAUUCACUAAUGACAAAGUUAGGUAUAGUUCAAUUAAUGACCUAAGAUCUCAGAUUAGUACAGUGAUUAAAAAAUGUAACUAAAAUUUAAAAAGAUAAGCUAACAUGACACAGGUCAUAUAUAUAGUAUAGAGUAGUGAAAGGUACAUCUCAAUUACUAGCACUAAUAAUAAAUACUUGAUCACAAUAGUAUAGAUGGAAAUUUAUAAUAUUAUUGUUCUUGUGAAAUGAAUGGCUGCUUAUUUUUUUUAGGGAGAGUGAUGCAAGUGCUUAUCUGCCUUAUAGAUUAGAAAUGGAUUGAGAUGAGAGGGAAACAAAUGCGUGACUCACAUUAGGAGAUAAGGGGCCCCUUAGUUAUCAUUCUCAUUAUAACCCAACCAAAAAUUAAGAUUCUAAUCAUGGUUUUAUUGCUUUUGCAAAAAACAAAAAAAAAAAAAUUAUCAUAUUUUAUCCAUAUAAAAGUGUUUUCAUCUAUCUUAUUUUACAAAUUGGGACAAAUGUAUACCGUUAAACAUCUAUCACAAUACCAAUAAUCCUAGAGUCUUCAAACUUGUGGUACAAAAUUUGAAAACAAGUUAAAUUGGUUGAAAUUUUUUUUUUUUUUGUAUUUUCACAAAUUCAAGGACUAAUUUAUUAUAAGGAAACAUUGAAAGAUUAAUACGUUACAAUCUUUUAACUUAUAUGAUCACAUAAGAUAUUUGACCUAUAUAAUAAUAACUUGGGGUGUUGUGCAUUUUCUUCUUUGAUAGUGAAUGAUGACAAUUAAUUCAAAUCUCCACCAAACACAAUAUAAAAAACAAAGUGCAUGCAUGCACAUAUAUUUUAAAGAAAGCUUAGAGAAGAAGAAAAAAUCAGGAUGUGCAUUUUAACAAAAGGAAAUCCCAGUUAGCCCUCCUUUAAACAAUUAUAUUACAAUAUGAAUAUGAAUAUGAAUGAAUUGUCAUCAAUUUAGUAUUGAAAAUAAAAAGGUACUAUUAUGUACGACGCCAUAAGUCUUUGAUGCUUCAAUAUGAUAAGAUGACAAACACAAUCAUGUUUACCGAUUUAUUGAUUAAAUUUGAUUACCGUGUAGAACUAGAUCUUAAUUAUUAUAGUACUCAAUAUAUUAGUUUAGACUUGAUUCACUAUAACUCCAUCCCAAUCCAAACUCUCACACUUAUGUUGAAUUUGAAUUAUGUAGCUUGUUCAUAACCAUGUUAUAGUUAUAAAGUAAAGUAUAUACCGUCGUUUAGUGAAGAUUAAUCUCUAUAAUAAAAUCAAUAAACACGAAUUCUCUCUUCUUAACUAAUUUUCUUUAAAACGUGUAUCAAACCGUUAACCAUUUGCUUAAGUGUUCGAAAUCCCCGACACUCAAAGCAACAUGUAUAAUGUAUUGUUGUAGCUUGGUUUAAAUUACACAUUUGAUGUAAUUGGAUUGGAUAAGAAUUGCAAUUGGUCCCUCUUCAUCUGUCCCAUGCAUGCACUUUAUUCAUGCCCUCACAUUUUAGCGACCACUAUUUUGUUGGAUAAAUUAGACCCUACCAAAUCCGAUCGAUGACAAGUGGUGGUGACGGGAGAGAUGCAAAGAAGCUUAGCAACAAUAUCCAAAGUGGGAGUGUAUACGUGGCAAACUCAUCCUUUUAUAAGAUAAAAUCUUCUUAGUUAUAUUUGAAUUUGAGAAAACAAGAUAGUUUAAUUUUGACUCGCUUAAAUAUGUUUUUAGUCUCAAUAAAAUUUUAAAUAAUAUCUAUUUUUUAAUAUAAAAAAAAAUUAACUAUUAGUUUCUACAAUAUUUUCCGUCAACAGUUUUAGUUCAUAUAAAAUAAAAAUAUAGAUUGAAGUUUUAUCAGAAUACUACCACACUUUAAAUAUAGUAUGUUUUAUGUGUAAAUGACUUCAAAAUUUGAUUUUUAAAUUUAAAUUUUUGUAAUUUUAAUUUCUUGAACUUUUGACACUUAAAAAUUUAUAUUUGAUUAAUUUUUUAAAAUAUAUAUAUAUAUAUAUAUAUAUAUAUAUAUCCUCAUAGGAGAUAUCAGAUAUAUGUAUAAAUAUUAUGCAGGUUUGAGAAAAUUUAUUCAAAAAAUUUGAAUGAUACACAUGAAUCAACUUAAUAGUAAGGACUAAAACAAUUGACCGAAAAUAUUGUGGGGAGUAAAAGUUGAAAAAAAUUAUAUGAACUAAAACGAAAUUUUGAAAUUUUAUAAGAAAUAAAAAAACAUAUUCAAUCUUGGUACCAUGUUUCCAUAUUAAUUAGGGACCUUAGAUCUCAUAUUAGUACCAUGAUGAAAAAAAAUAAUGAGCUAAAUACGUGAUUAGAUCAAUUUAUUUUAGAAUUGAAAAGGUUAAUAAACUUUUUUGAGAGUAAAAAUUAAAAUACUUUUUGACAAAAAAAAUUAAAAUACUUUUAAUCUACCAUGCAUACUGAUAUCUUUGUCACUAUGAAGUCUGAAAACAAUUGUGAGUUUGCGAAUUUUAGUUGUUUUCAAAUUAAUUUCAAACAAUGAUCACAAAAUAUUUAACAAACUAUAUGACUAUUGGACUGAUUAAUAGUAUAUCUAAUCAUAAUUUUCAAAAUUCAACAUUUUGCAAAGUAUAAGUUAAACACACAAUCACAUUGCUGACAACAAAAUUGGAUUGUCACCAAUUAAUGUACAACAUGACUAGCAUGUGAUAUUUUCAAAUUAAUUAGGUUACCGGCAAUGAACAUGCUGCAGGUAUGUUAAUUUAAUUGAUUAAUUAAGCUCAUAAAGGAAUUUUUGUGAUGAACUAUGAAAGAUAAAUGAGCUGGAUUUGUAUUAUGGUCAAGAAAAUGGUAUUGCAGGUCAUAAAAUCAUACUAUAUGGGAGCAAUUAAUAUGGCUAACUAAGUCCACUCUAGUUGUUUAGAAAUAGAAACUAUAGCUGAUGAAUCACAGCUAAUAAACAACUACUAGAUGGUGAUUGAGUAGGGUACCUCUAGUACUAUUUGUGUUUUGUUAAAAUUAACAUCUCAACAAACAUAGCAACAAGUGACUUAUUUUCUUUUCAAUUAGAUAUUGAGAUUAAAGUUUAAAGGUUGGAGAAGAAAUUGACUUGAAGUUACUAUGAUAUGAAAUUUGAAGUGAAACCAUGAAAAGUUGCAGCAGCAAUAGAAUAAAAAUUAAUUAGUGGAAGACAGAGCAUCUAAUGAAAUGCCUUCUUUUAACAAGUUGCUUUGACUUUUUGCAUAGUUCCAUGUGAAACAUGAUGGAUGUAUGUUUGAGAUAUGACUUGGCCAUAAAUGUAUAAAGAUUAGGAAAUGUUAACUUGUGUCUAUAACUAAUUUAUCAUUUAAAAAACUUAUUUUAUAAAAGAUAUUAAAAAGUUAUAAAUAUUUCAUACUAAUACAAGCUUGAUCUUAGCCUCAAAUGCCACUUUAAAAUCAAAAGUUUGAAAUUCAAAUUGUGUUUUUUUUUCAAGUUAAAAAAAGAUUGUACCUAAGGAUAAAACUUAUUAAAUCUCAAUAAAAAUAGAGUUAAAAUUAUAAAACAUUGUCUCAAGAUACCCAUAAUUGUGUUAGAUGACCCACUCUGACUCUAUUUUUUUAUAAGAUGCAAAUAACCUUAAAAAUUAAGUUCGAAAGCCCAUAUUUUUCACGAGGAUGAAUCAUCUCGUUCUCUAAUUCUCUUCUUCUCCCUCCUUCUCCAUUUUGUAUAUUUUUCUCUCUAAAUUUGAGAGAGAAGAUCAAAAGAGAGAAAAAAAAGGUGAGAGAAUAUCAAGAGAGAGAAAUACACAAAAUGAAGAAAGAGAGGAGAAUGUGAGAAUAAAAUAAUCUAAAUCUAUUAUUCAUUUACUCAUUCUACACUUCAUUUUCUCUCUCUAUAUCUAUCAUCCUAACACAUCAUUGUUCUAUCAUAUCUAUCAAAUUAGUCUAUUUAUUUCUUCCUCUCUUAGUGGUAGAUUAGUUAUUGGUGUCUAAAAAUUAUUUUCCCAAAUUAAAGGGCUUGUAUGCAAUUUUUCAUGCUUUAAAGUAUGCUAUUAAACCACCUAUAGAGUAAGUACACCUUAAAUAAAAGUAGCAUAUUUAAUAAAUUGAUAAAAAUAUAAAGUUACUUCCUUUUCAAAAUAUUGUACGUAUUUGUAAAAGAAAAUAUAUCUUGUACCCAUUAAAGAAAAAAUCCUCGAAAAAAGUACUACUAAUGGAGUACAAAUUUCAAAAUCUGGUGUCACUUUUGGAAUUGCAUGGCAUAGAUGUGCGUCACGCAGUCAAACGAGAUGUCAUCUUUCAUUUUUUAUGACCGCUAUUGUCUGACCAUUUUUUAACUAUGGUAUGCCAUGUUAAUUAACUUACUUAAAUGUUUAUUUGAGUUUUAACAUACUAAAUAAGUCAUGAGACAUAUAUUUAAAUAGAUUAUAACAAAAUUAAUAUAUCAAUGAGAUUAUGCAUCAUUUUGAUAUUUAACAUAAUAUUUUAGAGAAUAUGACUUAUAGGAUAUCAUAUUUCAUGACCACUUGUUGGCUCAUGUGGACAUGGAGAAAGAAAACGAUUUUUUGAAGAGGAUUUACAACAACCGAUUAACCAUGUCUUGACGAUCUAGAAUUUUACUAGAGAGAUAGACUUGUGUUCGACUCAACCGCAUCAUCGCAAUCUUCAAAGAAAUGAGAUGAUCGAUAAAGGUUGAAUAAAAAUCAACAAUGAUGAUACUUGUAAAUGAUAUGAUCCACUCUUUCGCAACUCUAAAAGGAGAUGGUGAAAAGGUUGAAUAAAAUCUAAAAUAAUAACAGAAAUAAAGAAAUAUAAUUCACAUUUUUUUAAGUAAAUCGCUAUAUAGAUGUUUUUUUUUUAUAUAUAUAUAGUUUGAUUCAUAUAGCUAAAUACACUUCAAAAACAAAAUGUAUGUCUAAGUUUUUUUUCACCCUUUUUCGGUGGAUAUGUCUACGAGCCUAUGUUAAAUGUAACUUUACAAGAGCAUUAUAACCAUCAAAUAAUAUAUAUUAGUUAUAGUUUAGUUAGGUACAUUUAAAAACCAAUGAUGAGUUAUUGGGGCACUAGACGAAGCAAUUCCUUGCAAGAUAUGUAUCCUUAGAUCCCAUCACUUUUAAUUUGUUUAUACAUGCUUUACUACCCUUUUGUAUUGUAGGUACUACACCACAAAUAAUGCAACUUAAUUAUAUUCCACAAUCCUAUUCAUCCUUUAUAAUAAUUUUCAACAUUAAUCUAUAUUAAUCAAUUUCUCCCAUACCUGGGAAGUUUCCCUCAAAAUAGUUUUGUAAUAUAUGGAAGAUCAGAGCCACAUUAAUUAAGAGUUUCAAUCUCAUUAUACUAUAUUUUUGUUUAAGAAAAUCAACUUAUAAUUAAUGGAAGAUGAGAAGUCAAACACACAAUUGAAAUCUAAAUCUGAAUAUAUGCAUAAAUUAGGGCAUGAAUGAUUUUAAUAAUAGUGCUUAAGAUAUUAUUGUUUGAUACUUGUAAGUUGUUGACAAACAUAUGAAAAUGAAGGGAGGUGAAGUUGCCACUUGCCAGGUAGGUGUUGGCAAUCAUGCAUGGGGGGGUGGUGAGUGAGUGGGGGUGAAGUGCAUAUAUGCAAAACGUUACUUCUUUGCUUUGUGUUUGGAUUUGGAAGUUGUAACAGAAAUCAAAUAUGAGAUAAUGCUUAUAAUUCAUAAAGCUUGUGUAAAAGCACCUAAGUUGUUGUUUCUUUUCUCUUUCCCUUUCUCCUUAAGCCAAGUAAUCCCUUUUUUCUAUUUAUGAAAUAGAAAGGUUGCUUCAUAUACUCUUUCUUAUAGGACUAUAAUGCUAAAUUUGUUAGAAAACAAUGAUCACUAAUUGACGAAUCAAAAUAUUUUUAUCAUGAUGACAUUAGUUAUCUUGGAAUUGAUUUCAAAAAAUAAUCAAAAUACCAUUGUUAUUUUGAUUAAUACCACAGUUUGAUCUUUGGUUCAAUUAUGACAUCAUUGUAAUGAAAGAUGAAAAUAUGAACGAAAAUCUCAAAAAAAAAAAAAUGUUGGCUUAGUAAUUGUUUGGUUUUGCAUUUUCUACUUCUUUUACACAUUUACAGGUUCCAUUGGCUUUUUCACCGUGAUUUGUCAAUGAUGCAAGCUUUCACGUCAACAUGAAAAUUCAUCGUAGUUUUGAGAAACAUGUUUAGUUUAUGUUUGAUCUUUUUUUCUAUAAUGGCUGAAGUUUGAAUCUUAAACCUUGUAUAUUUUAUGCAUUGUUUCAACCAACUGAAUUAAGCUCACGAUGACAGUUUAUGUUUGAUCUAACAAAAUGAUUUUGCCAAAUUCAAUACGAACUUGACUAUACACUUAACAUAUGAGUAUUUAUUUUUUUUGCUACCAUCCCGAUUAGCCUUUUAAUUUUAUGAUGCAACGCCGAUUAGCUUCUCACACAUACACCAUUUUUUUUGGUCAUAAAAAGUUUAUUUAUUUUUUAUUAUGGUUGGUAUGACUUAUGAUGGCAAGCAAUGCAUGCAAUGGGAAUGAAGCUUUGUCCCUUCUCGUUUGGCUUUAAAAAUAUCACAAAAAACGCGUUUUCAGCAAUCAAACCAAACACACCUUUACCAAGCUCAAAUAUUCAGUCGCUGUUAAGUUGUUAUGAACAAAAUAAUUAAUUAAAUUUUAUAUCAACACAUAAAAAAUAUGAAAAAUCGUUAAUCGAUAAUUUUUUAUCACACAAAUUAUGUUUUUCUUUUUAGGAAAUACACAAAUUAUGUUAUUAGUAAUUUUAAAACUAGAGUGUCUGAUUUCAUUACAUUACAUAUAGAAAGGGAACAACAAUAAAGGAUAUGAUGGAAUAUGACGAAGAGGAAUACUCCAUCGGCUUACAAUAAAUGUUCUCUUUUACUCUUACAUUUUUUUUUUUAACAUUUGUGUAAUAAUCAAAUGAUUUACUUAAGACAAAGAGAGUAUUAUCUCCGUCCCUGAUUAUAAUACUCUUUUGCGAAAAAAAAUUGUCCCUUUUUAUAAGAUCCUUUUCAAAUACAUUAAUUAUUUUUUUACCAACAUACCUUUAUUUAUUUUGCAUCAUUUUCUUCAAUCAAUAAUAAAUACUCCCUCCGUCCUAAAUUGUAUGGCGUUUUAGGCAUUUCACAUAUAUUAAGAAAUGCAAUUAAUAUUGUGUGGAAAAUAAAUAUUAUAAGUUGUUUUACAAAAUUGUCCUUAAUAAAUAAUAUGGGAAAGAUAAAUGAAAGAAUUGGAAGAAGAGAGAGUAAUAAAUAGUUAAGAUUAUAAUAGGAAAAAUAACAUUAAAAUUGCAUUGGUAUUGUAAAGCGACAUAUAAUUUAGGACAAAUAUUUUUCCCUAAAGCGACAUACAAUUUGGAACGGAGGGAGUAUUAUGUUGAAAAUAUAAAUUAACUCUCUCUUAAAGAUAAAAUUGUAAAAACAAUAAUAAUUAUAUAUAAAUUUAAUACUACAACCAACUUUUUUAAUUUGCAUAAUUUUUACAAAAAAUUCCUAUAUUUAGAGACGGAGGUAGUACUUGUUUAAGAACAAACUUAAAUUAGAAAAAUUUGGACACGUUGAAAGAGAUAUUUUUUUUAAACAAAAAAUGGUUCUGAUCUUACUAACUUAUUUAUCUUUUAAUUUCUUUUAUUGUUGUAUGUCCAAAUAAUUUAAAUUAUGAUUGUGCAUAUAAGGACUAACUCGACGGAUAAUAUUAGAUUAUUGAAAUACAAUAAAAAAAUAUUAUAAAAAAGAAAUGAACACAUAGAGAGAGAUGAGGUUAAGUCAAAAUAAAUGAAAAAGGAAUUUUAUUGGAGGGUGAAAGGACAAAAAGUGGGUCCCAAAAUUGUCUGAAAAAGUUGGUCCUACUAAAUUUCGCUCUAUCCAACAACACUUACACCCUCCACUCCUCACAUUUUUGAAUGUUUAUAAAUGCACCUGCAAACCACUUCCUUUUUGCCACAACAAAGAUUAAUUCAAACACUACAUUUUUCAUUAAUUCCCAAAACACACACAAAAAAACAAACUCUCUCUCUCUAAAAACUUUUUCUUCUUCCUUUCACACUUUUCAAUACAAAAAGAAGAAGAAAAAAACAUUGUUUGAAAAACAGAACAAAAGUUGAAGAAACACACAACACAACAUUUAUGUUUUUUUCUCUCUCUCUAUACAUUGAAGCAUAGAAUAAAGUGUAAAAAAAACCACUUUUUCUUUACACUAUCAUGGCCUUCAAGCUCAAUGUGUUGCUAUUGUUCAUACUUGCAAGUUCAUUGAUUGGUUAUGGUGAAGCUUCUGUAUCAUAUGAUCAUAAAGCUAUCACCAUUAAUGGACAAAGAAGAAUACUUCUUUCUGGGUCUAUUCAUUACCCUAGAAGUACUCCUGAGGUAUUUUCAUCAAAUGUGUUUCUGGGUUGUUUUUAUUUUGUGUUUUUAUCAAAUGGGUUGUUUCAAGUUUCAGCCUUUGUGAAAAAAAGAUGUUUUUUUGUUUGUUUGUUUUGUUUGGAUUACUGAAUUUAAGGUUGUUUUUGUUGUUGUUUUAGAUGUGGCCAGAUCUUAUCCAGAAGGCUAAAGAAGGAGGAUUGGAUGUGAUUCAAACCUAUGUUUUCUGGAAUGGACAUGAACCUUCACCUGGCAAAGUAAGAAUGAACAUUAAACAAUGUUUGUUUUGCUUGUAGUGUAAUUUGAACUAAUCAUUUUUUUUUUUUUUUUUUUUGUGUUUUUUAUUAUUGAAGUAUUAUUUUGAGGGGAACUAUGAUUUGGUGAAGUUCAUAAAGUUGGUGCAUCAAGCAGGCCUCUAUGUUCACUUGAGAGUUGGUCCUUAUGCUUGUGCUGAAUGGAAUUUUGGGUAAUAAAAUAGUUUAAUAUUAAUUUCUUUUUUUACUUAAACAAAAAUUAUGGUUACUUGAAAUUUUUGUUAACAGUUUUACCUUAUUGAUUUUUGUUAAGAGUUUUACCUUAUUCAUUUUUGUAGAGGUUUCCCUGUUUGGCUCAAGUACAUUCCAGGUAUCAGCUUCAGAACAGACAAUGGACCAUUUAAGGUAAUAUAACUGUUACAAUAAUAUCUUUAAGAAUCACUCUAUAAAUAGAAAAAAUAUAUUAAUUUGAUGUUGUUACUUUACCCUCCCAAUAACUUAAUUUGACUUUUGUUUAAUGUUUUUGUUUGGUGAAGAUUCAAAUGCAAAGAUUUACUACCAAGAUUGUGAAUAUAAUGAAAGCUGAAAGGUUGUAUGAGUCUCAGGGUGGUCCAAUAAUUCUAUCUCAGGUAAAGAUGUUAAUCUUGUUACUUUCUUUGUAUUUUCUUGGCGGUAUUAAAUAACAAUGUUAAUCUAGUUACUUUACUAGUUGAAGAAAAAAUGGAGAUAUAUAAUGAAUAUAUUGCCUUUUGGUACCAUUGUUUAUGCACAGAUUGAAAAUGAAUAUGGACCAAUGGAGUAUGAACUUGGUGCUCCUGCUAAAGCCUAUACUCAGUGGGCAGCACAUAUGGCUGUAGGACUUAAUACUGGGGUUCCAUGGGUCAUGUGCAAACAAGAUGAUGCUCCUGAUCCUGUUGUAAGUUAAACUGACAUGUAACCUUUUACAGAAAAAUAUUUUUACCUUUUUUAAACUUGUAGAUUGUAAAUGUUGAGUGUGAGAGGUGUAACUAAGAAAAUGAUAGAAAGGGAAGAGAAAAUAAAAAAGAAAUGAUGUGAUGAUAAGAAAGUAAAAGAGAGAUUGAAAGGGAAAAGGGGUGUUAAAGGAGGGAAAUGGACUUCCUACUGUAACUGUAUCAUUGUGUUACAUAUCUGGACCGUCCGAUCUCGAAUCAAUGUUUGAUAUCGUUUACAAUUAAUUUACUGACGGUGUAAUUUGAAUGGUCCGAUCUCUAAUCAAUGACCGAGAUUGAUUGCCGGUUGAACUGGGUGAUAUCUUUACAGCAGGCAAUCCGGGUCCGUAAAAGGAGAUGUAAAUGAAAAGAGUUUGAAAAAUUAAUAUUAUUCCUCCUUGUGCAUGCAUGACUGAUAUUUUCACUUGUUUAGUCCUUUAAAAUCUUUCAAUUCCAUUCUCAUCAUCAUGUCUAGUUUUUCAGCAUCACAACUUUAAUGAAAUCAUUACCCUACAUGCAUGUGGUUAAAAUUCAAAAUUUGACACUAGUCAAUUUCCUGUUUUUUUUAGCAAAGGAGAGAUAAACAUAUUUAUAUAUGCUGAAGAAAUAUUGUAUUUUUGCAUGUAAAUCCAAUUUUUCCAGAUAAUGUUGUGUCGACUUUGAGUCAAUGUCAUUUUCCAGCUUCUAAUUCCAGUGUAAAAUUUUGCAGAUUAAUACUUGUAAUGGUUUCUAUUGUGAUUAUUUCUCUCCAAAUAAGGCUUACAAACCAAAGAUGUGGACAGAAGCUUGGACUGGCUGGUAUAAAUAAAUUUGUAACUCAUAUUUAGUGCCCUGGUAGUGGUACUUAUUUUUCUUAAGGAAAAAGAAAAAAAAUCAUUGCUUUUUUUCCUUUGUUAACCUUGUAGGUUUACCGGCUUUGGAACUCCAGUUCCUCAUAGACCUGCUGAAGACUUGGCAUUUUCAAUUGCAAGGUUUAUACAGAAAGGAGGAUCCUUUAUCAAUUAUUACAUGGUAACUUCAAUAUUCGUUGAUUCCAGAGUGUCCGUGUAUAGAUUCACUGUUUUUUUAAUUCAACUAAGCUCUUUUGUUUUGUUCUUUUCAGUAUCAUGGUGGAACAAAUUUUGGAAGAACCGCUGGUGGUCCUUUUAUUGCCACAAGCUAUGAUUAUGAUGCACCUCUUGAUGAAUACGGUAUGUGCUCAACAUUCAAACAUCUAUCUAUAUCUACAUAUAUUAAGUGAAAACCAAGCUUUUUUCUUCUUUAUUCCAUGCAUUGUAUUAUAUUAUUAUUUUCGCUACGCAGGGCUUCUAAGGCAACCAAAGUGGGGUCAUUUAAAGGAUUUACACAGAGCAAUUAAACUCUGCGAACCUGCUUUAGUUUCUGCAGAUCCUACUGUAACUCGUCUUGGAAACUAUCAAGAGGUACAUCUCAAAUUGAGUUAUUGUAAAUUUUUGAAUUACUAUCUAGAUUUCUGUGUAAUUGGAAGAAAUAUUUACCUUUCGUGGCUGAUGUACAGGCUCAUGUCUUUAAAUCAAAAUCUGGAGCUUGUGCUGCAUUCCUUGCAAACUACAAUCCACGAUCUUAUGCAACAGUGUCAUUUGGGAACCAGCAUUACAACUUACCUCCUUGGUCUAUAAGCAUUCUUCCUAACUGCAAGCACACUGUUUAUAACACUGCAAGGGUGAGGAAAAAAUAGAACAAACUUUCAUUUUCAUUGACCAAGUAGCAUAUUUCAGCAACAAUGAUGAUUUUUAAGUUUCGAAAUCUUUGUAUAGGUUGGUUCGCAGAGCGCACAAAUGAAGAUGAGCCGCGUUCCUAUUCAUGGGGGGCUCUCUUGGCAAGCAUUUAAUGAAGAGACAACCACUACCGAUGAUAGCUCCUUCACUGUGACUGGCCUGUUGGAACAGGUUAAUGCAACCAGAGAUUUGUCGGACUAUUUGUGGUACUCUACAGAGUGAGUCACAUAUAACUUGGCAGCAUUGUUGAUAUAUUUAUUCAUUUUGGUUUCUUCUUAUUGAUUACUUAUCUUGUUCCCUUUUUUGUUGCUAGUGUUGUGAUCAACUCCAAUGAAGGAUUUUUUAGGAAUGGAAAGAAUCCUGUUCUUACAGUAUUAUCUGCUGGUCAUGCUUUGCAUGUUUUUAUCAAUGGUCAGCUGUCAGGUCAGUAGCAAAUCCUCAGCGUAUACCAUUUCAACAACACCAGUUAUUUUGACUACUAAAACUAUUCUCGCUUCAGACAUAUUGCAAUCUCGCUUCAGAAAUAUUGAAAAUAAGUAGUUGAUAUACACACACACACUCACACACUUUUGAGAAUUCACUGAAUCAGACUGUUACAUGUAAUAAUAUAUCAAGAUAUGAUCUAUUAAUCAAUGCUCCCAUUCAAUUUCAUCUUCAAUAUAUUGAGCCUAUUUUUUAUCCUCUUUUGACCAGGAACUGCAUAUGGAAGUGUGGAUUUCCCCAAACUAACCUUUAGUGAGAGUGUGAAGCUUAGAGCUGGUGUUAACAAAAUCUCCCUUCUAAGUGUUGCAGUUGGACUUCCGGUUUGUUUUCUCCCUCCUCUAUUUGUGUGAUCACACGCGCGUUUCUAAAAUUAUGAACCGGUGUCGAUGUCAUGGCUAUGUCUAUGUUAUUCACUUGGUGUCUUUAUAUACAGAAUAUUGGCCCACAUUUUGAAACAUGGAACGCCGGUGUUCUUGGUCCAAUUUCAUUGAAUGGUCUCAACGAGGGAAGAAGGGACUUAACAUGGCAGAAAUGGUCGUACAAGGUACUUCAAACACUCACCGCGCUAUCUCAUUUUCCAUCUUUGCUUGAGUUUGCUUGAGAUUCAUUUGAAUGCAUGUUUUGUUCAGGUUGGUCUUAAAGGAGAAGCCUUGAGUCUUCAUUCUCUUACUGGAAGUUCCUCUGUUGAUUGGCUCCAAGGAUAUUUAGUUUCACGCAAGCAGCCAUUGACUUGGUACAAAGUGAGUAUCAUUAUUCCUCAAUAACCCUGCAGAAGUUUCAGAAAAGCAUAUGUUUAUGUUUUGCUUUAGUGCCUAUUGAUAUUGAUCCAUUCCUCUUAAUCAUAUUGAUCCAUUCCUCUUAAUCUACUCUUUAAUUAUUAUUCUUAUAAAUGUUAAUGCAUUAUAUGCUAUUACAGACAACUUUUGAUGCCCCGGCUGGAGUUGCACCUUUGGCCUUAGACAUGAAUAGCAUGGGAAAAGGUCAAAUGUGGUUAAAUGGACAGAAUUUGGGACGCUACUGGCCUGCUUAUAAAGCAUCUGGUUCUUGUGAUUAUUGCAAUUAUGCAGGAACCUAUAAUGAGAAAAAGUGUGGAUCCAACUGCGGCGAGGCUUCUCAACGAUGGUAAGAAAUAUGUCAUACAUAGCUUAUUUAAUAGUUUUGUUUAAUGCUGAUGAGAAACACCAGAUGAACUAAUCACUGACCAAUGUUUUCAGGUAUCAUGUUCCUAAAUCUUGGCUGAAGCCAACAGGAAAUUUGUUGGUUAUGUUUGAGGAAUUGGGAGGGGAUCCAAAUGGUGUGUCUUUGGUUAGAAGGGAUAUAGAUAGUGUUUGUGCUGAUAUUUAUGAGUGGCAGCCAAAUCUUGUUAGUUAUCAAAUGCAAGCUUCUGGUAAAGUUAAGAUACCUGUGAGUCCAAAAGCACAUUUGUCAUGUGGUCCUGGACAAAAAAUAUCAUCAAUCAAAUUUGCUAGCUUUGGCACUCCAGUCGGGUCUUGUGGAAACUACCGCGAAGGAAGCUGUCACGCUCACAAGUCAUAUGAUGCCUUUCAAAAGGUAUUUUUAUUUGUUCUAUUUUUCUAGGAUGGUUUCUUUUUUAUUGUGGAUAGGGUGCUCUAGCCAGACACUAAUUUGACACAUGAAAAACAUCACUCUUUAUUAUUAUUAUAUUUUUUUUCUUCCUGAUUUAAGAAGUUAAAAUAUGCAGUUUUAAUGUUCUAUCCAUCAAUAUUUAUGGCCCUUUUUUCUCAAUACGUUCUAUUGAGUAUGACUCAUAGUUUACUGAUUAGUGGCUAGGUCGCUCGAGCCUAAAUAAUUUGUAACCCUAAGCUUGUAAGCCGGACUAUAAUAUUUAAACACAAGUUGUUAUUGGUAAACCUAAGUUUGAAUAAUAGAAAAUCACCGCAACCACUCUGCAGUUGGAGACGUAGUAGGAACAAUUGGCCGGACACUGAUCCAAUCUUGUGUGUUCUCUGUUUGUGUUUUUCAUAUCUGUUUUCUUUAGAACCAAAGUUGUUGUUCUAACUCAUUCUUUAUUGUUACAGAAUUGUGUUGGUCAAAGUUCGUGCACUGUGACAGUGUCACCUGGAAUUUUUGGAGGUGAUCCAUGUCCACAUGUUAUGAAGAAACUCUCAGUAGAGGCUAUUUGCACCUGAUGAUUUUCUACCUUAGAAAAUAAAUUGAACAAAGACUCCAGAAUAUAUUUUUUCUUAUGCAAUUCAAUACAGGUUUUUGGGUCAAAUACAAGUCUACACUUCAAGAUCACCGCUGGCAUUGAAUUUGGCUUUACCAAGGUGAAGUUGCAGAUAAACACAACACACCAACUGGUUGAAAAGCCUAUAGAGAAUUGUUGUGAUGAUUGUGGUUAUGUGUGUAUAUAUAUAUUGGUGUUUCAACUUGUUAUACAAAGGUGAAGGAAGAUGAAAAGUUGGUUGAUGAUGCACAUUGAGACGACACCAAUUGGAGUCCAUGUGCUGCAAAUUGGUUUUUGUUUGCGUGGAAGUCUCUUGCUUCCUGUAAAACUAUUGUUGUCUUUCCUUGUAGAUUCAUGGAGAAAGCAAUUUAGUUACUUUUUCCUCCUUAUGUAAGAAAUUUUCCAAUGUAAUAAGAUCAGAUAUGUUAAAUUAAGUAAUGUUAUGGUAUUAUGCUUUUAACUCCUUGUUCUUUCUUUUUCCUUCAUUCUGCCAUGUCUUGGUUUCCACCAAUUAUAUUUCUGCUGUUGAGAUAUUAAAUUGCUGUCUUCCUUCUACAUGGUAUAGAACUUAGGUUGAUAUGAAGAAAAAUCGCCCCUCCUCAUCGAUUAUUCCUCCUACCUCCCCGUAUCGUGAUGCUAAAACUCUAUACCACAAACUCCUAUUUUCAACCAUAAUCCUCCAACACCAUUUAACACGUAACGCCAAAUUAAACUCCCUUAUCCUCCGCACCCCCAAACCUCUGUUCUCUUUUUUGGAACAAAUAAUGUCCCAGUUAAUCCAAGAAAUUUUCCUAACCUCCUCACACCACACCCCCCCCCCCCCCAUAGAUUUAAUAGAGGAAAUGAUACCUCCCAUAUCUCUCUNCAAAUAAUGUCCCAGUUAAUCCAAGAAAUUUUCCUAACCUCCCCCAAAAAAAAAAAAAAAAUUAAAAAUAGAUUUAAUAGAGGAAAUGAUACCUCCCAUAUCUCUCUGUUACGUUUUUUAUUUUGUGAUUUCGUCGUCUUCGUGCGACGUUGGUUAGUUCGUCGUCUUCGUGCGACGUUGUUUGUCUUUCUUGUUUCUCUCAAGUAUUUGAUCGGUUCAGAUUGUCAGAUCAGCUUCGAUCUAGUGCAGAUCCAAUCAAUAACUUUGCCGUCAUCCACGUUGCAGAUCCGGAGACAUGGCUAUUCCGGAGAUUUAAAUAUAGUCAUAUGUGUAGCCAUUUGUACCUUGUCGUUUUAUGCUAUUAGCAUGGGUGUUGUGAGCAUGUUCACAGAUUCAUCAUUUUUGUUUUUAGCGAAUUUAUAUUAUAUCGAUGUACUCUAUCAAUUUGAAUGAAUGAAUAUCAUUUAUUUUUGUAGAAAAAAAAAAAACUAAACGGAAUUUUUUUAUUCAGGUAUAA
rnacentral:lncRNA from 1 species